UUUUUUUUUGUGUGUGUGUAUUUCUGGUAAACCGUCGGAUGAAAACAUAUGGGGUGACCGAGAUUUCUUAGUUCUUUUUCACCCCAUUUGGUUCACUUGAAUCAGAGUACCACAUCUAAAUCUUGAUCCUGCUGCCUGUGUCACUUGAGUCAGAGUGUACUCAAGUUUACCAUCCAAUAAGGCUCAAGAUUUUUUUUGCUUUCUUUAUCCAGGUUUAAAAACCCACCUGAUCUGUGUGUGUUUCUGUUAAACCAUUGGAUGAAGAAUUGAGGGAGUCGAGACCCAGAUUUCUCAAUUCUUGUCGACUGACCCUAGUUUCUCUCACGCCAUUUAGUUAACUUGAAUCAGGGUGUACCUCAAGUUUACCAUAAAUCUUGAUCCUGCUUCCUGUGUCAUUUGACUUCUCUUCUUCUUUUCAAUAUCCUGUGGUAGUACGUAGUAGAUUCCACACUGAGAUGCCUGUCUCUGCAUGACGCUAGAGUAUUAUUUACCAUACUGGGGGGUCAACUGGAUCAUAACGGUAGAGAUGUUGAGGAACAUGGUGGACAUACUCCCUUGUGGAGCUGCAGUAGAGUUACUGUCUACCAGCAGUCUGUGGUUUGCCUCUGUUCUUGCUGUCCUUUAAUGAUCUGCCGCUGCACUUGCCUAGUUGGCCACCAUCAGUUCAAGUGUGGGGCAGUGAGAAAUGGACCUGUGAAAAUGCACUGAACAGAAUAUCCUCCGCGUGAUAAAACAAACAAAACAUGACCGCCCGGUAGCGAUUUUGUGAAUAUUAAUUGUCUCUGGUAAUGCAUGUUGCGGAACACCUUCAAAAUGUUUUGUGACAGAUGGUUUUUGGGUGGGGUAUUACACGCUUGAGGGCUUUCCAGUAUCUUUAUCAACCUAGUUUUGUGAUUGAAGUCGUGUAUGGUGCAGUAUGCUGUGGUUCCUGUGUUGGGAAUUGCUUUGCACAUUCGAGUAUCCAGAGCCCCCAGCGCAAUACCUGUGUGUUGGUUGGUGAAGUAGGUUUAAGAUCUUUCCACCUAUUGUGCGAAAACAGAAUGUGUAAUGAUUGGUGGAAAUGGAGAUAAAGACGAUCAAAUUCAUCUUGCGCCUGAGGUUUAGAUCCUUGAUUUAUUGUCAGAAAAUCGUGGAAUAGAUAGCACAAUCUGCUGCCAUAGAUUGCGAAUUAUGCGACCGAUCAUCGAUAUCGAUUGCUACCCGUACGGGGGAACGAGUGAAGGACGACCGCAGCCAAGUUUCUGGCUGGGCAGAAGGUAUGGUUGACGCUUGCUCAGACAUGUUUAUGACCCAGCUGUGAAUCCAGGCCAAUCCUGACUCGCCCAAGCCGUAGGAGUAGGUAAACACAGCCAUGAUGAUUGAUCCAAGCUGCUGCCAGUGGCAGUCAUUGGUAGGAGUAGAUCGGAUCCGUGAGGUGACUAACGCGAAAAGAAAAAAGAAAGACUAUCCUGUGAGGAGUGAAUGAAUCAUGGUGUUUUGGUCGCCCGCGUCACGCGUCCCUCCUUCCUUCCCCUACCACCACUCUACGACCGGUAGUCCAGUACCGGGCCAGGCCGGGCCGGUCGUGGUAGUACGUGGGCCUCCACGUAGGUGCGCCGCGGCAGGAGGCUCGCUCGUUGCGUUGCGUUGGCUGUUCCCGUGUCCGGUUCCUGCCAUCAGCGAGCCCCUGUCGCGCCCGCCCCACCGACCGACCCAGCAGUACGCAUCUCGGAUUUCUCAAAAAAAAAAAAAAGCAGUAUGCAUCUCGGCGACUAAUCGUCGGCCUGCUGGGGGCGGCCGCAGCUGCACGCACGCCGCCUGCGCCUCCCCCUUGUCGUCGUCGACGCCGCCGUGCCCUACCCCGCCGUACGACCCGGUCGCUCUCCCCCAUGCGUUGAGGUGAAAAAACAUCAAUGCAUGCCCAGACUGGCCUGGCCCUGAACCCGUCUCUGCAACCGAAGGAAUGGAACGGUUAAAGACUUGCUGCAGGCGGGGAGACGUCCGUGGCUGCAGUGUCAAUUGCCACUGCCACGACGUACGUUUCCCCCUGCCCGUGCAGCGGGUUUGCUGGCAGGUACGUACGUGAUAGGCUGGCCACCACCGGCCAGGCAUCGAUGGUUUGGGCGUUGGCGACGGCAGGUCCACGAGCACGAGGCACGAGCUGAGCAGCAGGGCGCGCCGGGCCAAUGGCGCUUCAAUUGCAACGGGGUGGUGGUGGUACUCUGAUGGAUGGGGGCACCUGGCGCGUACGUACGUGUGGCCGGUAGCCGGGCCCUCUUCCGCGUACAGCCUCUGCUCCGCGUCACAGGCGUCGCGUACGUCCGUCCCUCCUCGAUCGGGAAACCUUGGCCGGACCCUGCCGGGAUCUCGCAUUUACCUGCACCGCACAGUAGUUUAAACCUGCCAGCCGCGCCGCAGUUACAGACUUCAGAGUGCGUAGUACGCACGCACGUCGCCUUAUCUAUCUCGUGUUCCGUUGGAUCUGGGCUGAACAUUCGACAGAUCGGCGUUCCGACCCGAUGUACGUACGUGCGUCUGGUCGGCACACGUCGUCGUCGGCGGCGCUGGCGCCGCAGCGGACGAACAGUGGCGUCGAUCGGGACGGGACGGACGACGCAGAGAAAGUUAGAAGCCAUUGCUGGCUGGCCUGGCUUGGCUUGGCUAGCUACAAGGGUGAAAAACCAGCCGGGAAACGGCCAAGCCAGGGGCGGCCAAUGGCGACCGGAUCGGUACAAAGACGACGAGAUCUCUGCCGCUGCCGGUGGCGGACUGGUGGUGGUGGUGUCGCAAUCAAUCAUGCACUGCCCGGGAAGAAGCCAGAUCCGGAGCUGUUUGCUGGUGGCGGGGAAGCAUGCAAGGCCUCUCCCUCUCGUCGACGGACGGACGCAUGCAGGCAUGCAGCAGCGGACGUACGUACGUGCUCACGCGCGCGCGUACGAGGCCCGGCCGGUCCGCCGAUCCCGUCGCUUCGGCCGUGCCGCGCGGGAGACGUCGAUGAUUGAUAGGGGCAAAAGGGGGCUGACGAUGUGCCGUCGUCCGUGAUGAUCACCAUGUGUUGUGUUGCGAUGCAGCGAGGACGGCGAGGUGGAGGAUGCGAUGUACUGGCCGUGGAUUCAUGCGUGGGACGGAUCUCUGUAGCUUGGCGGGAAGAUGUAGAUCGAGGAAUAUUGCACCGCUGGGCAUGCAACAUUGACACAUUCUUUUUCUGGUCGAACGAACAACUUUAACCUUUAUAUCCGCUGGAUGCCACCGUACAAGGUGGAAUGUGCAGGUAUAGCACGUUGCAUAUCGUUGGUAUUUUUUGUUGUGAGAGCGAGGUAAUAAAAAUUUCAACCGCGUCCAUGGACCACCUAGCGACGACUACAAAUAUUGGAGCAAGUUUUUUGGCUAAAAAAAAAACAAAUACUGGAGCGAGCCGAAGAGGCGCCGUUGUCAUCACCCCUCUUUCAUAGGAGCCGGACAAACCUUGUUGUAGUAGAUAGUCGGGAACUCGUCGUGUUAAGGUCCCAAAGGAACAACGCACCAGAGCAGCAACCAUCGCCGAUGAAAAAAGUUGUAGAUCAAACCUGUAACCACACGAAUGAAGACAAACAAAAACUGGACCCAAAUGGAUCCACCGAAGACCGACACCGACUGAAUCCUCGUGAGAUCCGAUGGAGACACACCUCCACACUUCCUCCGACAAUGCUAUUCACACCAUCAGAAUGGAGAUCGGACGUGAAAGACAAUUAUUCUUACCAGGGACAUCGACAUCGCCACACAACCCCAAUCAAGACGUCAAAACUAACAAAAACGAGAACGGGGUCCCUCCCGCCGGCGGGUGGCUGAGAUCCUGCGCACCUCCACAACCCAAAGGCCAUCGGAGGUGGGCGGAUCGGCAGGGGCGCAGGCGGGAGGAGGAAGAAGACUUUUCUUGAGGAGGAAAGACCAUAUUGUUGGUAUUUAUCGAGUCGUGGAUCCAAUGUUGCCUCUGCGCAUAUGAUAUUGGUAAAUGGUGGUGCCUCUUUCGAAGAUUUCAACCUGUCAUGUAUAUUUGUUAGAGGAACGGUAGCAAUCUAGGGCGUGCUUGGUUAGCUGCAUCAUUUUUUGGGUUUUUGUAUGUGUGACUCAGUUGGGUCUGACCGAGCUAAUGCUUUUUUGCGGGUUGGACUGGGUUGAUGCACUACACGACAUUUGGUUGUGCACAACAUAUUUUGUGAUCACCCCUUCUCACUAGUGAUGAUCCUCACCACACACGAUUGAAACAUCAUUUCAAUCCUAGUUAGGAAAUAAAUGACAGUUCAUCCUACCUACUAACAAAUUACAACACAAAUUAAAAGUCGUAUGGCUCAAUAUGGGAAAGUUCAUCGAUGCCAAACUAGGUUAAGUCCAUCCUCGUCUUCGAAGUCGAAGAGAAGAAGUAGGUCCUGCUGCUGGAGAUUGAAGUCAUCAUCGUCGCUACCGCUUCCGCAGAUCUGAGAGUCACCGCCGCCGAGCAAGGCAAGGACUGAGGCUAGGUUUGUCCUAGAGCUAGAAGUNNNNNNNNNNNNNNNNNNNNNNNNNNNNNNNNNNNNNNNNNNNNNNNNNNNNNNNNNNNNNNNNNNNNNNNNNNNNNNNNNNNNNNNNNNNNNNNNNNNNNNNNNNNNNNNNNNNNNNNNNNNNNNNNNNNNNNNNNNNNNNNNNNNNNNNNNNNNNNNNNNNNNNNNNNNNNNNNNNNNNNNNNNNNNNNNNNNNNNNNNNNNNNNNNNNNNNNNNNNNNNNNNNNNNNNNNNNNNNNNNNNNNNNNNNNNNNNNNNNNNNNNNNNNNNNNNNNNNNNNCGCAUACGUCAUGCCCCACUUUUGGGCCUGACUCACCGAAAAUGGUUGAUUCAAGCAUUUCUAGCGGGCGAGACUCUAGGCUACUUUAAGGUUUGUGCGCGUGCGAGUAAGGCCUCCUCGUAUGCUACUAAACAAGUGUUUUCUCACACCCAUUGUAACGCCCCGGAUACAACUUUCCAUAUUCGUAACUCCAACUCUUGCCUUUUCCGGAGAUGCGAUAUGAUAUUUCCUUCGUGGUUUGGGUUUUGUCUGUUGUUUUGCAUUUUGUUCUAGUUAUGCAUCUCGUCUCAUGGCAUCAUGCGCAUUGCAUUUGCAUGUUUUCAUAAAGAUUGCAUCCGUUCGUAGUUGGCGCGUCCCCCCUUGCCUUCGUAGACCGUUUCGAGUCCAACCGGGUUCUCGUUCCCCUUUUGUUGGACCGCCAUAUCUCUCUGCCAGUCAUGGACCCCCCCUCCUUUGCAGCCCCCCCGCGUGCGUGUCUGAAACCUUUUCCGAACCCGACCGGAGCAGUCGUCACCGAUGAGUCCGAAUCAUCCCCCAACAUCCCUAAAACAUCUUUGGUUUCUUAUUUGAACUCUCCUAGCCUAUCUAUUCUGAACCUUUGAUCUCGAUCGGACGUCUGCGAUCUGUCCAAAUCUUGCUCUUCUAAGCCCACCUAGUUGUUGCACAUUUCGGAGCCGUCUGAUCUCGAUCGGAGGGCUCCAAACAGCCCUCGGUCACCCCCUCCUACUAUAUAUGGACACCCUACUCCAUUUUCGGAAACCCUAACCCCUAGCCCUUCUUCCCCACUGCCCCGCCGCCACUUGGCGCGCAGCCACCGGUCACGCCGCCAAGCACGUGCCCUGUCUCCCUCCUCGCGUAGGGCCCGCGGAACCCAGAUCGAGGCCUUGGAAGCCCAUCUGUGCCCAAACCGUGCCGCCGCCCGCUCCUCCCGUCGCUUGAACCCUCCACCCGAGCGCCUCCUCGUCCCAAUCCAUGUGCGCCUCGCCGGAGUCCGGCCGCCGGACCAGCUCGUCGGAGCUCUCAACGCCUAGGACCUCCUCCUCGCGCCCUCUCUCUUUCUUCCUCUGCCGUUUCCUCUCUCCCACACAUCUCUCCCUGCAGGAGACUAGCAGCCAUGGACAGCCCUAGGAACUCCCUCGCAGCCGCCUGGAUCUGGCGUCUCGCCGGAGAACGCCGUCCUCGCCCAGAUCCAACCGCCCCUGCUUCCCGUCGCGCCUCCCCGCCUUGGAUCCGGUCGUCCCCGCGAUGUCCCUGCCGCCAUGUCCACGCCAUGGCCUCUGCUUCCUCUUCAUCGAGCAGGAGCAGCCCGCUCGCCUCGCUCCCGUUGACCAGCGCGCGUGGCCAGGGGCCGCUAGCUCCAAGGCCCAGCCGAAGCCAGCCAACCCCAGCCUCCUCCAGCCUCGCGCCCUCUUGGGCCUCCUGCACCGACUGGGCCGAGCCCAUGGGUGAGGCCCCCCAGCCCCUCCAGAUCCGGCCUGUGUCAUAUUUUUUUCCUGUUGCUUUUUUUUCUAUUUUCCAGAGAAACUGCAUAUUUACAGAUUGACCCCUGUUCUACAUGCAUAUAAUACCUCAUGAACCGUGCAUCAUAUGUAAAUAAUUUAUAUAUGUAAAAUGCUUAGAAUUUUGUGUAGAUUAAUAAUAUGCCACUUUCAUCCAUGUUUAAAAUGUUUAAAAUUCUGUUUGUUUAAAUUUGCCAAUAUGCCAUGUUAAAAUGAUUUAUUUCAUAACUAAAUAAUCGUAGCUCCGUUAUAACUAAACUUUAUAUGUAAAUGAGGUGGAAAAAUGCCUAGUUUAACGUGGUACACUUUGUUUUAUUGUUUAACAAUAUUAAAAUAUGUUUUAGGGCAGAACAGUACCAAAUCUAAAAUAUGCACAUGAGGUUUUUUCGGAAUUGUUGUUUGUUGUUUCCGGCCUCAUUUAAACUUGCCUAAAUAGUUAGUUUACUUAUGUUCCACCUCUUUCCAUGUUUACAACAUUUAAUAUUGUUGUGUACCUAAACGAGAGCGAACUAAAUAACUCGAAUGUGGUGUUUCGUCAAUAUGCAACUCGUUGCAUAUUGAGCUCCACUUAAAUUGUAGUAUUGUGUGUUGCAGUUUGCCAUGCCAUGCCUCAUUAAACCGGACAUGCAUCAUACUUGUUUGUGCAUCAUGUCAUGUUUAUGCUUGUGCAUUUACCAUGUUGUUUGUUUUUUUCUGGUGUUGCUUCUUAGUUCCAGUAAUGUUGCGAUUGUGAGGAUUUGUUCGACUACUUCCGUUCGACUUCUUCAUGGACUCGUGCUUCUUCCUAGUGGGAUCUCAGGCAAGAUGACCGCUACCCUGGAUCUCACUACUAUCAUUGCUAUGCUAGUUGCUUCGUUCUAUCGCUUUGCUGCGCUACCUAUCGCUUGCUCUUCCAGCCUCCCUAUUUUGCCAUGUCAGCCUCUAACCUUUUCACCCUUCCUAGCAAACUGUUGCUUGGCUAUGUUACCGCUUUUGCUCAGCCCCUCUUAUAGCGCUGUUAGUUGCAGGUGAAGUUGAAGAUUGCUCCAAGAUGGACAGGGUUAUGUUGGGAUAUCACAAUAUCUCUUAUUUUAAUUAAUGCAUCUAUAUACUUGGUAAAGGGUGGAAGGCUCGGCCUUAUGCCUGGUGUUUUGUUCCACUCUUGCCGCCCUAGUUUCCGUCAUACCGGAGUUAUGUUCCCGGAUUUUGCGUUCCUUACGCGGUUGGGUGAUUUAUGGGACCCCCUUGACAGUUCGCUUUGAAUAAAACUCCUCCAGCAAGGCCCAACAUUGGUUUUACCAUUUGCCUCACCUAGCCCUUUUCCCUUGGGUUUCCGGAGCCCGAGGGUCAUCUUUAUUUUAGCCCCCCCGGGCCAAUGCUUGUCUAAGUGUUGGUCCAAACCGAGCGAUGUCCGGCGCCCCCUGGGCAACCAGGGUCUAUGCCAACCCGUCGUCUUGCUCAUCCGGUGUGCCCUGAGAACGAGAUAUGUGGAGCUCCUAUCGGGAUUUGUCGGCACAUCCGGGUGGCUUUGCUGGUCUUGUUUUACCAUUGUCGAAAUGUCUUGUAAACCGGGAUUCCGAGUCUGAUCGGGUCUUCCUAGGAGAAGGAAUAUCCUUCGUUGAUCGCGAGAGCUUAUCAUGGGCUAAGUUUGGACACCCCUGCAGGGUAUAAUCUUUCGAAAGCCGUGCCUGCGGUUAUAGGCAGAUGGAAAUUUGUUAAUGUCCGGUUGUAGAUAACUUGACACCAGAUCCGAAUUAAAACGCAUCAACCGCGUGUGUAGCCGUGAUGGUCUCUUUUCGGCGGAGUCUGAGAAGUGAACACGGUCUUUGGAUUAUGUUUGAUGUAAGUAGGAGUUCAGGAUCACUUCUUGAUCAUUACUAGUUGACGACCGUUCCGCUUGCUCUGUUCUCGCUCUUAUUUGCGUAUGUUAGCCACCAUAUAUGCUUAGUCGCUGCUGCAACCUCACCACUUUACCCCUUCCUUUUCCCUUUAAGCUUUGCUAGUCUUGAUACCCAUGGUAAUGGGAUUGCUGAGUCCUCGUGGCUCACAGAUUACUACAACAACAGUUGCAGGUACAGGUUAUGCGAUGAUCUUGACGUGAGAGCGAUGCUUGCUUGUUUUGGAGUUCUUCACCUGCUUCUUCUUCGAGCAGGGGAUAGGUUCCAGGUCGGCAGCCUGGGCUAGGAGGGUGGAUGCUGUUUGAGUUUCUGUUUGUGUUUCAUCCGUAGUCGGAUGUUGAUAUUGUGUAUGAUGUAUUGUUGCAUUCGUGUGGCAUUCUAUGCCUCUUGUAUGUAUCCCCAUCUAUUAUGUAAUGUUCAUGUAACGAUAUCCACCUUGCAAAAGCGUUUCAAUAUGCGGGUCUAUCCUUGGUGGGACCUUUGAGUUCCUUUUGGAUAGGGUCGCAUAUUGGGCGUGACAAGUUGGUAUCAGAGCCUCGACCGACCCAUAGGAGCCCCCUUGAUUGUUGGCCGUUGUUGAGUCUAGAAGAAAACUAUUUUGAGUCUUAGGAUUAUAUAUAUCGGAGAGUAGGAAUUCUUUUUACUCCUCAGCCCCUUCGUCGCUCUGGUGAGGUCUCCUGACGUAGAUGUUUUGUCUUUCCUCUCCUCAAAUUUCACUAAAUUUUUUUAGGAUCACGCGGGUAUCUUGGAAUCGUUCCGAUGGUUUUGUGACGAAAACAUUGUUCUUGGUGCCUCCUGUCUAUUAUGUGGCAUUGACCCGGGGAGUUGAGCUCCGAGGUGUUGUCGUCACAAUUUUAUCGUUGCAGUUCUGGAAUACCUGAGUUUUGCCGACAUCGAAAAUCUCUUUUAUGCAGUUGUUGGUGAGAUAACCUCGACAUCACCCAGUACUGGGGAGUUCGGGAGUAUUGCCAUAACUCGUAUAACAGAUGCUUUUCGAAGGUUGAGGUACACGAUUUCCGAAGGUUUCUUGGUUAUGUGUUGACGGAUGGAUACAGCUUGGAUGUAGGUAUUGUUAGUUUGGGUGAGAUAUAUUGCUUCCCCUGUAUCCCCAACACCAGAUUGCAUAACCAGAACGUUUCGGGAGUUUAUAGGUGGGAAUUCAAGUAGCUCCUAGAAUAUCUUUCCGACAGAUGCGUGAUAUGGGAUUGGGUAAAUCUCUAUCAUAUGUAUUUGUUCCGGCUUAUUCUGCAAGCCAAAUCCUUUGUUUUGUUUUAUUUGUGGUAUUCGAGUUGCUUCAAUGUCAAGUGUUGAUUCCAUACCUUUCCUAAGCAGUGUUCUCAUAUUUCUAUGGGAGUACUAAUCCUUUUGAUCAUCGAGAUUGUCAUGUCAAUUUUUUCCAACCGGUGUGCUUCUCCUCAAGUGGAUCCGAUCAUUUUCAACAUCUGCAAGAUCAAUUCUAAGUUUUCUCAACGGUGUUUGUUUCAUCCGUCCCAAGUUAUCUUUGUUUUCCCGCCCUCCCACCCUUUUUCUUCAAGAACUCAUAUAUGUUAAUCAAGUAUGCAUUUAUUCAUGUGAGGUCUCUUCAUUCUUUUCUUUCAAUGUUCUUAUCCGGUGAUUUCCCAUGAAGAUGCUCAACAGUUUCAAGUUCGUAAUUCUUCGUUAUUUUCUUCUCCGGUGGAUCCAAUUCAAGCUUUCAGUGUUCAUCAUAUUCCUUUCCUCGUGUCAAAUGCUUUCUCAUGCCGAUGCACCUCUUAAUCAUUCACUUCUUCCUAUUCAUUUGUCCUGGAGUGCUGAAGAUAUUUCACAAGACUUGUGUUUCCAUUCUCAAUCCGUUCAAGAUAUUUCGAGGUUGUUACCUCAUUCAAGCCAUUUAAUUCAACCGGUGCAAUCUCUCUUCAAAAUCGUUCAACGGUGUUUUCUUUUGAGUGGGCCCUAACCCACAGGUCUUUUUCCAGGAUCUUACCUGACUCUUCUAAUUAUUCCGGAGCCAUUCCUAAUUCUUUUCAAGUUUGACGUAAGAAUGAAUUUCAUCAGUCAGAUCUUUUCCAAGAUCAAUUUCAAAGCAUUUUUCAUUAUUGGCUCAACAUCUUCGCUUGUCAUUCUUCCGGAGUAUCUCAACAAUUUUUGUGGUGUUUCUCGUUGUCAGUUGAAGAUUGAAGAAGUGUUUUUCCUCUAAAUCUUGGCCAUUCUCUUGAAGAUUUAUGGUUCUAGCUUCAUGCCAUCCUCAUAAUUAUUUUUGAUUGUGACAAUUCUUUCCUUACCAUCCGAAGCAUUUCAUAAAUUGUUUUCAUUUCUUUCAUCCGGAGGCCAUCGUUCCAGAAGAAUUCUUCGCCCUCACAUUUCACCUACCAUUAUCAAAUUAUCCCAGUGCUUCGUUCAAGUGCUCUUUAAUCAGCUCAUGAUCUCUUUGUUCUUUUGGAUCUAAAUCCCCUCAAAUAUCUUCAUUCGUUUUCCAAUUCUUCCUGGUGAAUUGUGCCUUUGCUACUUUCAUUUUCAAUUCUUACGGCGGUUCGUUCAAGAUUUCACUUCCUUUGUUAUCAUAUCAAUUUAUUCAUUGUUUCCAAAUCCCACCGGUGGUUCCAUCAAUACCUUCUCAAGUUUGCGGUAUAUCUCUCUUAAUCCUUUCUACGAGAAUAAGUAGUGUGCCAAAUCCAUUGCUUGUCAUCAAUUUAAUUUGAUGAAGGAUAAGCAUACAAUAAAUCUUAUUCUUAUUUCCUCGAGGUGAUUCAAUUCUUUUCUUCCGGAGAUUGUUCAUGAUGAAGUAAUUCUCGGUUCUAGUGUUUCAUCUUUUUCUUUUCCGGAGUUCAAGUUUUCCGCUUUAUCUCAUUGCGAAGCCCCAUUUAAAUCAUCACAAGGUUUCACCUUGUUCUUUCAACUUCUCUUUUCUUUCUUUCAUCCUUUCUUUACUGGAGUUCUCCAUGGAGGCUCUACAUGGUGGUUCAUCAAGUAUUCCUUCCAUUCUUCAAUUGUUCUUCAAGAUUUCUCUCAAACCUAAGAUCCGCCAAGCUAUACUCUAAAAUAAACAUGGUGCUCAACACAUGUUUUGUCUUGAGGAGUUCAAGUAUUCUUUAUCUUGCAUUUUAAAGUGCAAUUCUUUCUACCUUAUCUUUUGAGGUGGUGUUAUGUCACUCUUGACAAUUUCCUUUAUGUUUCAUGAUUCACAUGUUGUCAAGAAUGAGGUAUUCUAAAUCCAUCAAUCUCUUCUCUGGAGUUAUCUUGGUAUAGAUUUCACAUAAAGCCUUCCCUAAGGAAUGUUGCUAUUUGUGGUGCUUAUCAAUGAUCCAAGUUUUCUCCUAUCCUCUUGGCGAAAGCAGUUUUCAUCUCUUCGUUGAUCUCAAGCAAGCAAUUGUUUCAGUUAGUGGCCGUUUGUCACCUCAUAAUUUUGAGAUGUUUUCCAUAAGCCCACUACAAGCUUAUUCGUUUUGUUAUUGGUUUUUUUCCAACAACCCCGUUGUAACCUUCUUGGAAGGGUGCUUUCCAAGCUCAUUUGUGGCAGAAGUUGGCAUUUUCUUCUCCAUUAUGUUAUUCCAAUGAUCUAUCUUCUAUUCUUUCUUCCGGAGGCAUUGUGAUGUUGCUCUUUUCACUCAUCAUCUUGAUUGUGAGGAUCGUGUUUUUUUCGUGCUUAUCCAUUUAACCGGAGUGCUGUGUCAUCUCUUCAAGUUCUUUUCAUCUCAUCAAGUCUUGCAUCUCUUUUCAACCGGAGUGUUGUCCGAAUUUGAUCUUCCUUGUUCCUUGUUUAUCUUGUUUUAACCAGAGUGGUUCCAAUUCUUUCUUGUCCAUUGUACUCGUCAUUCAUAACUUUUCAACCUCUCAAGGUUCGUGGUUUCACUCGUUGGUUGAAGAAGCAACUUAGUUUUACCUCUUCUCUUCCUCGUUCGUUUCUCUCCGGUGCCAUCCUAGAUCUCGGGACGAGAUCCUCUCGUAGUGGUGGAGUGUUGUAACGCCCCGAAUACAACUUUCCAUAUUCGUAACUCCAACUCUUGCCUUUUCCGGAGAUGCGAUAUGAUAUUUCCUUCGUGGUUUGGGUUUUUGUCUGUUGUUUUGCAUUUUGUUCUAGUUAUGCAUCUCGUCUCAUGGCAUCAUGCGCAUUGCAUUUGCAUGUUUUCAUAAAGAUUGCAUCCGUUCGUAGUUGGCGCGUUCCCCCCCUUGCCUUCGUAGACCGUUUCGAGUCCAACCGGGUUCUCGUUCCCCUUUUGUUGGACCGCCAUAUCUCUCUGCCAGUCAUGGACCCCCCCUCCUUUGCAGCCCCCUCGCGUGCGCGUCUGAAACCUUUUCCGAACCCGACCGGAGCAGUCGUCACCGAUGAGUCUGGAUCAUCCCCCAACAUCCCUAAAACAUCUUUGGUUUCUUAUUUGAACUCUCCUAGCCUAUCUAUUCUGAACCUUUGAUCUCGAUCGGAUGUCUGCGAUCUGUCCAAAUCUUGCUCUUCUAAGCCCACCUAGUUGUUGCACAUUCCGGAGUCAUCCGAUCUCGAUCGGAGGGCUCCAAACAGCCCUCGGCCACCCCCUCCUACUAUAUAUGGACACCCUACUCCUCCAUUUUCGGAAACCCUAACCCCUAGCCCUUCUUCCACACUGCCCCACCGCCACUUGGCGCGCAGCCACCGGUCGCGCCGCCAAGCACGCGCCCUGUCUCCCUCCUCGCGUAGGGCCCGCGGAACCCAGAUCGAGGCCCUGGAAGCCCAUCUGUGCCCAAACCGUGCCGCCGCCUGCUCCUCCCGUCGCUCGAACCCUCCACGCGAGCGCCUCCUUGUCCCAAUCCAUGCGCGCCUCGCCGGAGUCCGGCCGCCGGACCAGCUCGUCGGAGCUCUCAACGCCGAGGACCUCCUCCUCGCGCCCUCUCUCUUUCUUCCUCUGCCGUUUCCUCUCUCCCACACAUCUCUCCCUGCAGGAGACUAGCAGCCAUGGACAGCCCCAGGAACUCCCUCAUAGCCGCCUGGAUCUGGCGUCUCGCCGGAGAACGCCGUCCUCGCCCAAAUCCAACCGCCCCUGCUUCCCGUCGCGCCUCCCCGCCUUGGAUUCGGUCGUCCCCGCGACGUUCCUGCCGCCAUGUCCAUGCCAUGGCCUCUGCUUCCUCUUCAUCGAGCAGGAUCAGCCUGCUCGCCUCGCUCCCGUUGACCAGCGCGCGUGGCCAGCCUCCUGGGCCGCUAGCUCCAAGGCCCAGCCGAAGCCAGCCAGCCCCGACCUCCUCCAGCCUCGCGCCCUCUUGGGCCUCCUGCACCGACUGGGCCGAGCCCAUGGGUGAGGCCCCCCAGCCCCUCCAGAUCCGGCCUGUGUCAUAUUUUUUUCCUGUUGCGUUUUUUUCUAUUUUCCAGAGAAACUGCAUAUUUACAGAUUGACCCCUGUUCUUCAUGCAUAUAAUACCUCAUGAACCGUGCAUCAUAUGUAAAUAAUUUAUAUAUGUAAAAUGCUUAGAAUUUUGUGUAGAUUAAUAAUAUGCCACUUUCAUCCAUGUUUAAAAUGUUUAAAAUGUUGUUUCUUUAAAUUUGCCAAUAUGCCAUGUUAAAAUGAUUUAUUUCAUAACUAAAUAACCGUAGCUCCGUUCUAAAUAAACUUUAUAUGUAAAUGGGGUGGAAAAAUGCCUAGUUUAACGUGGUACACUUUGUUUUAUUGUUUAACAAUAAUAAAAUAUGUUUUAGGGCAGAACAGUACCAAAUCUAAAAUAUGCACAUGAGGAUUUUUCGGAAUUGUUGUUUGUUGUUUCCGACCUCAUUUAAACUUGCCUAAAUAGUUAGUUUACUUAUGUUCCACCUCUUUCCAUGUUUACAACAUUUAAUAUUGUUGUGUACCUAAACGAGAGCGAACUAAAUAACUCGAAUGUGGUGUUUCGUCAAUAUGCAACUCGUUGCAUAUUGAGCUCCACUUAAAUUGUAGUAUUGUGUGUUGCAGUUUGCCAUGCCAUGCCUCAUUAAACCGGACAUGCAUCAUACUUGUUUGUGCAUCAUUUCAUGUUUAUGCUUGUGCAUUUACCAUGUUGUUUGUUUCUUUCCAGUGUUGCUUCUUAGUUCCGGUAAUGUUGCGAUUGUGAGGAUUCGUUCGACUACUUCCGUUCGACUUCUUCAUGGACUCGUGCUUCUUCCUAGCGGGAUCUCAGGCAAGAUGACCGCUACCCUGGAUCUCACUACUAUCAUUGCUAUGCUAGUUGCUUCGUUCUAUCGCUUUGCUGCGCUACCUAUCGCUUGCUCUUCCAGCCUCCCUAUUUUGCCAUGUCAGCCUCUAACCUUUUCACCCUUCCUAGCAAACCGUUGCUUGGCUAUGUUACCGCUUUUGCUCAGCCGCUCUUAUAGCGCUGUUAGUUGCAGGUGAAGUUGAAGAUUGCACCAUGAUGGACAGGGUUAUGUUGGGAUAUCACAAUAUCUCUUAUUUUAAUUAAUGCAUCUAUAUACUUGGUAAAGGGUGGAAGGCUCGGCCUUAUGCCUGGUGUUUUGUUCCACUCUUGCCGCCCUAGUUUCCGUCAUACCGGAGUUAUGUUCCCGGAUUUUGCGUUCCUUACGCGGUUGGGUGAUUUAUGGGACCCCCUUGACAGUUCGCUUUGAGUAAAACUCCUCCAGCAAGGCCCAACAUUGGUUUUACCAUUUGCCUCACCUAGCCCUUUUUCCCUUGGGUUUCCGGAGCCCGAGGGUUAUCUUUAUUUUAGCCCCCCCGGGCCAAUGCUUGUCUAAGUGUUGGUCCAAACCAGGCGAUGUCCGGCGCCCCCUGGGCAACCAGGGUCUAUGCCAACUCGUCGUCUUGCUCAUCCGGUGUGCCCUGAGAACGAGAUAUGUGCAGCUCCUAUCGGGAUUUGUCGGCACAUCCGGGCGGCUUUGCUGGUCUUGUUUUACCAUUGUCGAAAUGUCUUGUAAACCGGGAUUCCGAGUCUGAUCGGGUCUUCCUAGGAGAAGAAAUAUCCUUCGUUGAUCGCAAGAGCUUAUCAUGGGCUAAGUUGGGACACCCCUGCAGGGUAUAAUCUUUCGAAAGUCGUGCCUGCGGUUAUAGGCAGAUGGAAAUUUGUUAAUGUCCGGUUGUAGAUAACCUGACACCAGAUCCGAAUUAAAACGCAUCAACCGCGUGUGUAGCCGUGAUGGUCUCUUUUCGGCGGAGUCCGGGAAGUGAACACGGUCUUUGGGUUAUGUUUGACGUAAGUAGGAGUUCAGGAUCACUUCUUGAUCAUUACUAGUUGACGACCGUUCCGCUUGCUCUCUUCUUGCUCUUAUUUGCGUAUGUUAGCCACCAUAUAUGCUUAGUCGCUGCUGCAACCUCACCACUUUACCCCUUCCUUUUCCCUUUAAGCUUUGCUAGUCUUGAUACCCAUGGUAAUGGGAUUGCUGAGUCCUCGUGGCUCACAGAUUACUACAACAACAGUUGCAGGUACAGGUUAUGCGAUGAUCUUGAUGCAAGAGCGAUGCUUGCUUGUUUUGGAGUUCUUCAUCUGCUUCUUCUUCGAUCAGGGGAUAGGUUCCAGGUCGGCAGCCUGGGCUAGCAGGGUGGAUGCCGUUUGAGUUUCUAUUUGUGUUUCAUCCGAAGUCGGAUGUUGAUAUUGUGUAUGAUGUAUUGUUGCAUUCGUGUGGCAUUCUAUGCCUCUUGUAUGUAUCCCCAUCUAUUAUGUAAUGUUGAUGUAAUGAUAUCCACCUUGCAAAAGCGUUUCAAUAUGCGGGUCUAUCCUUGGUGGGACCUUCGAGUUCCUUUUGGAUAGGGUCACAUAUUGGGCGUGACACCCAUUGGGCCUAUUUAGGGGUGAUGCAUGCUAUACCAAACACUGUUGAAAAUAUGCCCUAGAGGCAAUAAUAAAAGGAUUAUUAUUAUAUUUCCUUGUUCAUGAUAAUUGUGUUUAUUCAUGCUAUAAUUGUAUUAUCCGGAAAUCGUAAUACAUGUGUGAAUACAUAGACCACAAUACGUCCCUAGUAAGCCUCUAGUUGACUAGCUCGUUGGUCAACAGAUAGUCAUGGUUUCCUGACUAUGGACAUUAGAUGUCGUUGACAACGUGAUCACAACAUUAGGAGAAUGAUGUGAUGGACAAGACCCAAUCCUAAGCAUAGCACAAGAUCGUGUAGUUCGUUUUGCUAGAGCUUUUCCAAAUGUCAAGUAUCUCUUCCUUAGGCCAUGAGAUCGUGUAACUCCCGGAUGCCGUAGGAGUGCUUUGGGUGUACCAAACGUCACAACGUAACUGGGUGACUAUAAAGGUGCACUACAGGUAUCUCCGGAAGUGUCUGUUGGGUUGACACGGAUCGAGGCUGGGAUUUGUCACUCCGUAUAACGGAGAGGUAUCACUGGGCCCACUCGGUAGUGCAUCAUCAUAAUGAGCUCAAAGUGACCAAGUGUCUGGUCAUGGGAUCAUGCAUUACGGUACGAGUAAAGUGACUUGCCGGUAACAAGAUUGAACGAGGUAUUGGGAUACUGACGAUCGAAUCUCGGGCAAGUAACAUACCGUCUGACAAAGGGAAUAGUAUACUGGGUUACUUGAAUCCUCGACAUCGUGGUUCAUCCGAUGAGAUCAUCGAGGAGUAUGCGGGAGCCAACAUGGGUAUCCAGAUCCCGCUGUUGGUUCUUGACCGGAGAGCCGUCUCGGUCAUGUAUGCAUGUCUCCCGAACCUGUAGGGUCUAUACACUUAAGGUUCGGUGAUGCUAGGGUUGUAUGAAUAUGAGUAUGCAGCAAACCGAAUGUUGUUCGGAGUCCCGGAUGAGAUCCCGGACGUCACGAGGAGUUCUAGAAUGGUCCGAAGGUAAAGAAUUAUAUAUAGGAAGUGCCGUUUCGGCCAUCGGGAAAGUUUCGGCGUCACCCGGUAUUGUACCGGGACCACCGGAUGGGUCCCGGGGGUCCACCGGGUGGGGCCACCUAUCCCGGAGGGCCCCGUGGGCUGAAGUGGGAGGGGGAACCAGCCCCUAGUGGGCUGGUGCCCCCCCUUGGCCCCCCUGCACCUAGGGCUGGAAACCCUAGGUGGGAGGGGGGGCGCACCACUUGCCUUGGGGGGCACUCCACCCCCUGGCCGCCGCCCCCUUGGGAGAUUGCAUCUCCCAGGGCCGGCGCCCCCCCUGGGGGCCUAUAUAAAGGAGGGCAAGGGGGAGGGCAGCCGCACCCUGUGAAUUGGCGCCUCCCUCCCCCUGCUACACCUCUUCCUCCUCUCGCAGCAGCUUGGCGAAGCCCUCUCGGAGUUCUGCUGCAUCCACCACCACGCCGUUGUGCUGCUGGAUCAUCAUCAACCUCUCCUUCCCCCUUGCUGGAUCAAGAAGGAGGAGACGUCAUCCGCUCCAUACGUGUGUUGAACGCGGAGGUGCUGUCCGUUCGGCACUUGGUCAUCGGUGAUUUGAAUCACGGCGAGUACGACUCCAUCAUCACCGUUCUCUUGAACGCUUCCGCACGCGAUCUACAAAGUGGUAUGUAGAUGCAAUCUCUCUCCCAUGACUCGUUGCUUAGAUGAACUCAUAGAUGGAUCUUGGUGAAACCGUAGGAAAUUUUUUAAUUUUCUGCAACAUUCCCCAAUAGUGGCAUCAUGAGCUAGGUCUAUGCGUAGUUCUCUAUUGCACAAGUAGAACACAAAUUUGUUGUGGGCGUAGAUCUUGUCAACUUGCUUGCCGCUACUAGUCUUUUCUUGCUUCAGUGGUAUUGUGGGAUGAAGCGGCCCGGACCGACCUUACACGUACGCUUACGUGAGACAGGUUCCACUGACUGACAUGCACUAGUUGCAUAAGGUGGCUAGCGGGUGUCUGUCUCUCCCACUUUAGUUGGAGCGGAUUCGACGAAAAGGGUCCUUAUGAAGGGUAAAUAGAAGUUGACAAAAUCACAUUGUGGUUAUUCGUAGGUAAGAAAACGUUCUUGCUAGAACCCAAUUGCAGCCACGUAAAAGAUGCAACAACAAUUAGAGGACGUCUAACUUGUUUUUGCAGCAAUUGUCAUGUGAUGUGAUAUGGCCAGAAGUUGUGAUGAAUGAUGAAUGAUAUAUUGUGAUGUAUGAGAUCAUGUUCUUGUAAUAGGAAUCCCGACGUGCAUGUCGAUGAGUAUGACAACCGGCAGGAGCCAUAGGAGUUGUCUUUAUUUUGUAUGACCUGCGUGUCAUUGAAGAACGCCAUGUAAAUUACUUUACUUUAUUGCUAAACGCGUUAGCCAUAGAAGUAGAAGUAGUCGUUGGCGUGACAACUUCAUGAAGACACGAUGAUGGAGAUCAUGGUGUCAUGCCGGUGACGAAGAUGAUCAUGGAGCCUUGAAGAUGGAGAUCAAAGGAGCUAUAUGAUAUUGGCCAUAUCAUGUCACUAUUAUAUAAUUGCAUGUGAUGUUUAUUAUGUUUAUGCAUCUUGUUUACUUAGAACGAUGGUAGUAAAUAAGAUGAUCAAGAAAGUGUUCCCCCUAACUGUGCGCCAUUGCUAAAGUUCGUCGUUUCGAAGCACCACGUGAUGAUCGGGUGUGAUAGAUCCUUACGUUCACAUACAACGGGUGUAAGACAGUUUUACACACGCAUAAACACUUAGGGUUAACUUGACGAGCCUAGCAUGUACAAACAUGGCCUCGGAACACGAGAGACCGAAAGGUCGAACAUGAGUCGUAUGGAAGAUACGAUCAACAUGGAGAUGUUCACCGACGAUGACUAGUCCGUCUCACGUGAUGAUCGGACACGGCCUAGUCGACUCGGAUCGUGUAAACACUUAGAUGACUAGAGGGAUGUCAAUCUGAGUGGGAGUUCAUUAAAUAAUUUGAUUGGAUGAACUUAAUUAUCAUGAACUUAGUCUAAAGUCUUUGCAAAAAUAUGUCUUGUAGAUCAAAUGGCCAACGCUCAUGUCAACAUGAACUUCAACGCGUUCCUAGAGAAAACCAAGCUGAAAGAUGAUGGCAGCAACUAUUCGGACUGGGUCCGGAACCUGAGGAUCAUCCUCAUAGCAGCCAAGAAAGAUUAUGUCCUAGAAGCACCGCUAGGUGAAGCACCCAUCCCAGAGAACCAAGACGUUAUGAACACUUGGCAAUCACGUGCUAAUGAUUACUCCCUCAUUCAGUGCGGCAUGCUUUACAGCUUAGAACCGGGGCUCCAAAAGCGUUUUGAGAAACACGGAGCAUAUGAGAUGUUCAAGGAGCUGAAAAUGGUUUUCCAAGCUCAUGCCCGGGUCGAGAGAUAUGAAGUCUCCGACAAGUUCUAUAGUUGUAAGAUGGAGGAAAACAGUUCUGUCAGUGAGCACAUACUCAAAAUGUGUGGGUUGCACAACCGCCUGUCCCAGCUGGAGAUCAACCUCCCGGACGAGGCGGUCAUUGACAGAAUCCUUCAGUCGCUCCCACCGAGCUAUAAGAGCUUUGUGCUGAACUACAAUAUGCAGGGGAUGGUGAAGACCAUUCCUGAAGUAUUUUCAAUGCUGAAGUCGGCAGAGGUUGAAAUCAAGAAAGAACAUCAAGUGUUGAUGGUCAAUAAGACCACUAAGUUCAAGAAGGGCAAGGGUAAGAAGAACUUCAAGAAGGAUGGCAAAGAUGUUGCCGCGCGCGGUAAGCCGGCUGCCGAGAAGAAGUCAAAGAAUGGACCCAAGCCUAAAACUGAGUGCUUUUAUUGCAAAGGGAAGGGUCACUGGAAGCGGAACUGCCCCAAAUACUUAGCGGGCAAGAAGGCCGGCAACACUAAAGGUAUAUGUGAUAUACAUGUAAUUGAUGUGUACCUUACCAGUACUCGUAGUAACUCCUGGGUAUUUGAUACCGGUGCCGUUGCUCAUAUUUGUAACUCACAGCAGGAGCUGCGGAAUAAGCGGAGACUGGCGAAGGACGAGGUGACGAUGCGCGUCGGGAAUGGUUCCAAGGUCGAUGUGAUCGCCGUCGGCACGCUACCUCUACAUUUACCCACGGGAUUAGUUAUGAACCUCAAUAAUUGUUAUUUAGUGCCAAGUUUGAGCAUGAACAUUGUAUCUGGAUCUCGUUUAAUACGAGAUGGCUACUCAUUUAAAUCCGAGAAUAAUGGUUGUUCUAUUUAUAUGAGAGAUAUGUUUUAUGGUCAUGCCCCAAUGGUCAAUGGUUUAUUCUUAAUGAAUCUCGAACGUAAUGUUACACAUAUUCAUAGUGUGAAUACCAAAAGAUGUAAAGUUGAUAAUGAUAGUCCCACAUACUUGUGGCACUGCCGCCUUGGUCACAUUGGUGUCAAGCGCAUGAAGAAGCUCCAUGCUGAUGGACUUUUAGAGUCUCUCGAUUAUGAAUCAUUUGACACAUGUGAACCAUGCCUCAUGGGUAAGAUGAUCAAGACUCCGUUCUCCGGAACAAUGGAACGAGCAACCAACUUAUUGGAAAUCAUACAUACCGAUGUGUGCGGUCCAAUGAGCGUUGAGGCUCGCGGAGGAUAUCGUUAUGUUCUCACUCUCACUGAUGACUUGAGUAGAUAUGGGUAUGUCUACUUGAUGAAACACAAGUCUGAGACCUUUGAAAAGUUCAAGGAAUUUCAUAAUGAAGUAGAGAAUCAACAUGACCGAAAGAUAAAAUUCUUACGAUCGGAUCGUGGAGGAGAAUAUUUAUGUCAUGAAUUUGGUACACACUUAAGAAAAUGUGGAAUCGUUUCACAACUCACGCCGCCUGGAACACCUCAGUAAUGGUGUGUCCGAACGUCGUAAUCACACUCUAUUGGAUAUGGUGCGAUCUAUGAUGUCUCUUACCGAUUUACCGCUACCAUUUUGGGGAUACGCUCUAGAGACAGCUACAUUCACUUUAAAUAGGGCACCGUCUAAAUCCGUUGAGACGACACCGUAUGAAUUAUGGUUUGGGAAGAAACCUAAGCUGUCGUUUCUAAAAGUUUGGGGAUGCGAUGCUUAUGUCAAGAAACUUCAACCUGAAAAGCUCGAACCCAAGUUGGAAAAAUGCGUCUUCAUAGGAUACCCUAAGGAAACCAUUGGGUAUACCUUCUACCUUAGAUCCGAAGGCAAGAUCUUUGUUGCCAAGAACGGAUCCUUUCUGGAAAAAGAGUUUCUCUCGAAAGGAGUAAGUGGGAGGAAAGUAGAACUCGAUGAAGUACUACCUCUUGAACCGGAAAGUAGUGCAGCUCAGGAAAAUGUUCCAGUGGUGCCUACGCCGACUGGAGAGGAAAUUAAUGAUGACGAUCAAGGUACUUCGGAUCAAGUUGCUACUGAACUUCGUAGGUCCACAAGGACACGUUCCACACCAGAGUGGUAUGGCAACCCUGUCCUGGAAAUCAUGUUGUUAGACAACGGUGAACCUUCGAACUAUGAAGAAGCGAUGGCGGGCCCAGAUUCCAACAAAUGGCUAGAAGCCAUGCAUCCGAGAUAGAAUCCAUGUAUGAAAACAAAGUAUGGACUUUGACUGACUUGCCCGAUGAUCGGCGAGCGAUAGAAAACAAAUGGAUCUUUAAGAAGAAGACGGACGCGGAUGGUAAUGUCACCAUCUAUAAAGCUCGACUUGUCACUAAGGGUUAUCGGCAAGUUCAAGGGAUUGACUAUGAUGAGACUUUCUCUCCCGUAGCGAAGCUUAAUUCCGUCCGAAUCAUGUUAGCAAUUGCCGCAUACUAUGAUUAUGAGAUAUGGCAGAUGGACGUCAAAACGGCAUUCCUUAACGGUUAUCUUAAGGAAGAGCUGUAUAUGAUGUAGCCGGAAGGUUUUGUCGAUCCUAAGAAUGCUAACAAAGUAUGCAAGCUCCAGCGAUCCAUUUAUGGGCUGGUGCAAGCAUCUCGGAGUUGGAACAUUCGCUUUGAUGAGAUGAUCAAAGCGUUUGGGUUUAUGCAGACUUACGGAGAAGCCUGCGUUUACAAGAAAGUGAGUGGGAGCUCUGUAGCAUUUCUCAUAUUAUAUGUAGAUGACAUACUUUUGAUGGGAAAUGAUAUAGAAUUCUUGGACAGCAUUAAGGCCUACUUGAAUAAGUGUUUUUCAAUGAAGGACCUUGGAGAAGCUGCUUACAUAUUAGGCAUCAAGAUCUAUAGGGAUAGAUCGAGAUGCCUCAUAGGUCUUUCACAAAGCACAUACCUUGAUAAGAUUUUGAAGAAGUUCAAAAUGGAUCAGUCCAAGAAGUGGUUCUUGCCUGUAUUGCAAGGUGUGAAAUUGAGCGCGGCUCAAUGUCCGACCACGGCAAAAGAUAAAGAAGAGAUGAGUGUCAUCCCCUAUGCCUCAGCCAUAGGAUCUAUUAUGUAUGCCAUGCUGUGUACCAGACCUAAUGUAAACCUUGCCAUAAGUUUGAUAGGAAGGUACCAAAGUAAUCCCGGCAAGGAACACUGGACAGCGGCAAGAAUAUCCUGAAGUACCUGAAAAGGACAAAGGACAUGUUUCUCGUUUAUGGAGGUGACGAAGAGCUCGUCGUAAAGGGUUAUGUCGACGCUAGCUUCGACAGAUCUGGAUGACUCUAAGUCACAAACCGAAUACGUGUAUGUGUUGAAUGGUGGAGCAGUAAGCUGGUGCAGCUGCAAGCAGAGCGUCGUGGUGGGAUCUACAUGUGAAGCGGAGUACAUGGCAGCCUUGAAGGCAGCGCAUGAAGCAAUUUGGGUGAAGGAGUUCAUCACCGACCUAGGAGUCAUACCCAAUGCGUCGGGGCCGAUCAAGCUCUUCUGUGACAACACUGGAGCUAUUGCCCUUGCCAAGGAGCCCAGGUUUCACAAGAAGACCAGGCACAUCAAGCGUCGUUUCAACUCCAUCCGUGAAAAUGUUCAAGAUGGAGACAUAGAUAUUUGCAAAGUACAUACGGAUCUGAAUGUCGCAGAUCCGUUGACUAAACCUCUUUCGCGAGCAAAACAUGAUCAACACCAGAACUCUAUGGGUGUUCGAUUCAUCACAAUGUAACUAGAUUAUUGACUCUAGUGCAAGUGGGAGACUGUUGGAAAUAUGCCCUAGAGGCAAUAAUAAAAGGAUUAUUAUUAUAUUUCCUUGUUCAUGAUAAUUGUCUUUAUUCAUGCUAUAAUUGUAUUAUCCGGAAAUCGUAAUACACGUGUGAAUACAUAGACCACAAUACGUCCCUAGUAAGCCUCUAGUUGACUAGCUCAUUGGUCAACAGAUAGUCAUGGUUUCCUGACUAUGGACAUUAGAUGUCGUUGACAAUGGGAUCACAUCAUUAGGAGAAUGAUGUGAUGGACAAGACCCAAUCCUAAGCAUAGCACAAGAUCGUGUAGUUCGUUUUGCUAGAGCUUUUCCAAAUGUCAAGUAUCUCUUCCUUAGACCAUGAGAUCGUGUAACUCCCGGAUGCCGUAGGAGUGCUUUGGGUGUACCAAACGUCACAACGUAACUGGGUGACUAUAAAGGUGCACUACAGGUAUCUCCAAAAGUGUCUGUUGGGUUGACACGGAUCGAGACUGGGAUUUGUCACUCCGUAUAACGGAGAGGUAUCACUGGGCCCACUCGGUAGUGCAUCAUCAUAAUGAGCUCAAAGUGACCAAGUGUCUGGUCACGGGAUCAUGCAUUAUGGUACGAGUAAAGUGACUUGCCGGUAACGAGAUUGAACGAGGUAUUGGGAUACCGACGAUCGAAUCUCGGACAAGUAACAUACCGUCUGACAAAGGGAAUAGUAUACGGGGUUACUUGAAUCCUCGACAUCGUGGUUCAUCCGAUGAGAUCAUCGAGGAGUAUGUGGGAGCCAACAUGGGUAUCUAGAUCCCGCUGUUGGUUAUUGACCGGAGAGCCGUCUCGGUCAUGUCUGCGUGUCUCCCGAACCCGUAGGGUCUACACUCUUAAGGUUCGGUGAUGCUAGGGUUGUAUGAAUAUGAGUAUGCAGCAAACCAAAUGUUGUUUGGAGUCCCAUAUGAGAUCCCGGACGUCACGAGGAGUUCCGAAAUGGUCCGGAGGUAAAGAAUUAUAUAUAGGAAGUGCUGUUUCGGCCAUCGGGAAAGUUUCGGGGUCACCCGGUAUUGUACCGGGACCACCGAAAGGGUCCCGAGGGUCCACCGGGUGGGGCCACCUAUCCCGGAGGGCCCCGUGGGCUGAAAUGGGCGGGGUAACCAGCCCCUAGUGGGCUGGUGCGCCCCCCCUUGGGCCCCCCUACGCCUAGGGCUGGAAACCCUAGGUGGGGGGCGCACCACUUGCCUUGGGGGGCACUCCACCCCCCUGGCUGCCGCCCCCUUGGGAGAUUGCAUCUCCCAGGGACGGCCCCCCCUGAGGGCCUAUAUAAAGGAGGGCAAGGGGGAGGGCAGCCGCACCCUGUGCAUUGGCGCCUCCCUCCCCCUGCUACACCUCUUCCUCCUCCCGCAGCAGCUUGGCGAAGCCCUGCCGGAGUUCUGCUGCAUCCACCACCAUGCUGUUGUGCUGCUGGAUCAUCAUCAACCUCUCCUUCCCCCUUGCUGGAUCAAGAAGGAGGAGACGUCAUCCGCUCCGUACGUGUGUUGAACGCGGAGGUGUUGUCCGUUCGGCACUUGGUCAUCGGUGAUUUGAAUCACGGCGAGUACGACUCCAUCAUCACCGUUCUCUUGAACGCUUCCGCACGCGAUCUACAAAGUGGUAUGUAGAUGCAAUCUCUCUCCCAUGACUCGUUGCUUAGAUGAAAUCAUAGAUGGAUCUUGGUGAAACCGUAGGAAAUUUUUUAAUUUUUUGCAACGUUCCCCAACAAACACACAACUAGUGUUUUUUUGGGUUGUUCGUCCGGCACCAUUGCCGAUAACCAAACGUAUGUAAGCCAAUCUUCCUAGGGCAAACAUGCACCAUUUGGAUGCAACUAUUGUUGAAGUUUUUUUCCAAGGGUACCCUUCUUCUUCUUUUUUUUUGAAGCUAAAACAUCCUCCAGCUCUUUAUUCAUUAGGCGCUAGCAUGUCUGACUGCAAACAAUCAACUAGCCAUCCAGGGAUAGUUUCAUACAAGUACAUAAAACCAGAAAGUUUUAACAAGUGCCUAGCUAGACGGUGUGCCACCACAUUAGUACGACGACAAGAAAACCAUAGCCUAAAUCCCUGAAACAAAGUAGACAUCUCCUUCAUCUCCCUAAUGAGAUGAAAACAUGUCAAUCCCUGAGGUACCUCCCAGAGCCUCUGGAUUUCGUGACAGUCCGUCUCCAACACAACUUGCUGAAGGCCCAUGUCCGGCGCCAAUUAUCGCAUCUCUGCAUGCAAGUAGUUCAAUGGAUAAAGGGUCUGUUUCCCCAUCGUACCUUGAGCCUCCAUCUCUAACGGAAGCUCCCUGAUGGUCUCGGGCAAUGAAGCCUGCUCCUCCGCGUAUAAGACACAUGUCCGUAGAUCCAUCAGUGUUGAUCUUUAUCCAUCCCUCCUCCGGUGGCAACCACCUCGGGGGGACAUCAACUUGAGUCUUCUCCUUCUCCGGGAUCUCAAGUGCCCGGACAAUCUCCUCGAUAAUCACCAUGGAUUUCACUGGUUGAUACCCUUCUUUCAAAUACCCUAUAUUUUCCCUCUAUAAAUCAAUAGUAUUAAAUUAUUUGGAGUACCCCCGCAAAACAAUAAUAAUAAUUGGCGUGCAGUUUACCCAAUGUUGUUUUCUUGAUACCAUGGUUUCUUUGAGAUAUUGAAAAAAUGUAUUGCCGACCUCCUUUUCAUGAACCGACAAACAAUCGCGCUCUCCUAAUGCUUCGCUUGGUUUCUAGAUCUAAUGACUGUUGUGUGGGAAUAGCAAAUCGAGGUCACCAUCUUUUCACCCGCAAAAAAGAAGUCACCAUCUUCCCCUUGUACACAUUCUUCUACCAUGUGAUAUGGAUGUUUGGUGGUUUCUGGUGGGUUGCAGUUGAGAGCUUUUUUCGAUUACGCUUUGAGUGUAGUUUGCAUGAAGACAUUUGAAAGGAUCGAUAUAGUUGACUAGAGGGGGGGGGGUGAAUAGGCAACUAACAAUUUUUAGUUUUUCUUUACCAAAUUUAACUUUCCAUCAAAGUAGGUUGUCUAGAUAUGCAACUAGGUGAGCAACCUAUAUGAUGCAACAACAAUAAGCACACAAGCAAGCAAGGAUAGAGCACAAUAAAGCUUGCACAAGUAAAGGUGAGAGAUAACCAAAAGGGGAAACGAUGGGGACGAGGAUGUGUUACCGAAGUUCCUUCCUUUUGAGGGAAAGUACGUCUCCGUUAGAGUGAUGUGGAUGCACAAUGCUCCCCGAGAAGCCACUAGGGCCGCCGUAUUCUCCUCACGCCCUCACACAAUGCGAGAUGCUAUGAUUCCACUAUUGGUGCCCUUGGAGGCGGCGAACAAACCUUUACAAACAAGGUUGGGGCAAUCUCCACAACUUAAUUGGAGGCUCCCAAUGACACCAUGAAGCUUCACCACAAUGGAUUAUGGCUCCGCGGUGACCUCAACCGUCUAGGGUCCUCAAACACCCAAGAGUAACAAGAUCCGCAAGGGAUUAGUGGGGGGAAUCAAAUUUCUCUUGGUGGAAGUGUAGAUCGGGGCCUUCUCAACCAAUCCCUAGAAAAUCAACAAGUUUGAUUGGCUAGGGAGAGAGAUCGAGCGAAAAUGGUGCUUGGAGCAACAAUGGAGCUUGGGGAUGGAAGAGGUGAGUCUUCUUGGAGAAGAAGACCCCUUUAUAUAGUGGGGGGACACAUCCAACCGUUAUGCAGCCCGCAACCCGCAUCUGGGCGGUACUACCGUUGUAGGAGCGGUAGUACCGCUGCCACAGCGGUACUAUCGCUAUGGCAAGCAGGCAUAAGGCAACCAGGGCUAAGGGAGAAGAAGUACACGCACUAGGACGGUACUACCGCUAUGAGGGCGGUACUACCGCCGAUAAGCGGUACUGCCGCUCCCUAUAGCCGCUGGAAAACAGGCGAGGGCAGCGAGCUGAGCGGCAGUUGGAACGGACAUAGGAGCGGUACUACCAUUGAUAAGUGAUACUAUCGUGACCUACUGCCGUUCCUACUACCGCUCCCCUGCGUGGUCUGAUACGUCCAUUAUGCAUCAUACUUUUAUAUCGAUAUUUAUUGCAUUAUGGGCUGUUAUUACACGUUAUGUCACAAUACUUAUGGCUAUUCUCUCUUAUUUUACAAGGUUUAUCAUGAAGAGGGAGAAUGCCGGCAGCUGGGAUUCUGGGCGGGAAAAGGAGCAAUAUUGGAGACCUAUUCUGCACAGCUCCAAAAGUCCUAAAACUCCACGAAAGUCAUUUUUGGAAUUAAUGAUAAUUAUUGAGCGGAAGAAGUACAAGAGGGGGCCCACACCUUUGCCACGAGGGUGGGGGGCGCGUCCCCUGCCUCGUGGGCCCCCUGGUGGCCCUAUGGUGCCCAUCUUCUGCUAUAUGAAGUCUUCUACCUUGAAAAAAAAUCAUAAGCAAGCUUACGAGACGAAACUCCGCCGCCACGAGGCGGAACCAAUCUAGGGCUCCGGCGGAGCUGUUCUGCCGGGGAAACUUCCCUCCGGGAGGGGGAAAUCAUCACCAUCGUCAUCACCAACGAUCCUCUCAUCAGGAGGGGGUUAAUGUCCAUCAACAUCUUCACUAGCACCAUCUCCUCUUGUAUCCAAGCUUUGUAUCCAAACCUCAGAUUGGUACCUGUGGGUUGCUAGUAGUGUUGAUUACUCCUUGUAGUUGAUGCUAGUUGGUUUAUUUGGUGGAAGAUCAUAUGUUCAGAUCCUUAAUACAUAUUAAUACCCCUCUGAUUAUCAACAUGAAUAUGCUUUGUGAGUAGUUACGUUUGUUCCUGAGGACAUCGGAGAAGUCUUGCUAUUAGUAGUCAUGUGAAUUUGGUAUUCGUUCGAUAUUUUGAUGAGAUGUAUGUUGUCUCUCCUCUAGUGGUGUUAUGUGAACGUCGACUACAUGACACUUCACCAUUAUUUGGGCCUAGAGGAAGGCAUUGGGAAGUAAUAAGUAGAUGAUGGGUUGCUAGAGUGACAGAAGCUUAAACUCUAGUUCAUGCGUUGCUUCGUAAGGGGCUGAUUUGGAUCUAUAUGUCUCAUGCUAUGGUUAGGUUUACCUUAAUACUUCUUUUGUAGCUGCAGAUGCUUGCAAUAGGGGUUAAUCAUAAGUGGGAUGCUUGUCCAACAAAUGGCAGUACCCAAGCACCGGUCCACCCACAUAUCAAAUUAUCAAAGUAACGAACGCGAAUCAUAUGAGCGUGAUGAAAACUAGCUUGACGAUAAUUCUCAUGUUUCCUCGGGAGCGCUUUUCUCAUUAUAAGAACUUGUCCAGGCUUGUCCUUUGCUACAAAAAGGAUUGGGCCACCUUGCUGCACCUUAUUUACUUUCAUUGCUUGUUGCCCAUUACAAAUUAUCUUAUCACAAAACUAUCUGUUACCUACAAUUUCAGUGCUUGCAGAGAAUACCUUACUCAAAACCGCUUGUCAUUUCCUUCUGCUCCUCGUUGGGUUCGACACUCUUACUUAUCAAAAGGACUAGAUAGAUCCCCUAUACUUGUGGGUCAUCAAGACUCUUUUCUGGCGCCAUUGCCGGGGAGUGAAGCGCCUUUGGUAAGUGGAACUUGGUAAGGAAACAUUUAUAUAGUGUGCUGAAAUUUUCUGUCACUUGUUACUAUGGAAACUAAUCCUUUGAGGGGCUUGUUCGGGGCAUCUUCGCCUCGACCAGUAGAGCAAAGAGUUACUCCUCAACCUACUGAACCUACUGAAAACAUUUACUUUGAAAUUCCUUUGGGUAUGGUAGAGAAACUGCUAGCUAAUCCCUUUGUAGGAGAUGGAACAUUGCAUCCCAAUUUACACCUUAUCUAUGUGGAUGAAGUUUGUGGAUUAUUUAAGCUUGCAUGUAUGCCCGAUGAUGUUAUUAAGAGGAAGGUCUUCCGUUUAUCUUUGAAGGGAGAUGCAUUGACAUGGUAUAGGCUAUGUGAUGAUACGGGAUCUUGGGACUAUAAACGAUUGAAAUUGGAAUUUCACCAGAAGUUCUAUCCUAUGCAUCUUGUUCAUCGUGAUCGUAAUUAUAUAUAUAAUUUUUGGCCUCGCAAAGGAGAAAGCAUAACUCAAGCUUGGGGGAGGCUUAAGUCAAUGUUAUAUUCAUGCCCCAAUCAUGAUCUCUCAAGAGAAAUGAUUAUUCAUAAUUUUUAUGCUCGGCUUUCUCUCAAUGAUCGCACCAUGCUUGAUACUUCUUGUGCUGGUUCCUAUAUGCUUAAGACUAUCGAAUUCAAGUGGGAUUUAUUGGAAAGAAUUAAACGCAACUCUGAAGAUUGGGGUUCCGACGAUGGUAAGGAGUCAGGUAUGAAACCUAAGUUUGAUUGUGUUAAGUCUUUUAUGGAUACCGAUGCUUUUUGUGGAUUUAACACUAAAUAUGGACUUGACUCUGAGAUAGUAGCUUCUUUAUGUGAAUCUUUUGCUACUCAUGUUGAUCUCCCUAAGGAGAAGUGGUUUAAAUAUAAUCCUCCCACUGAAGUAAAAAUAGUUGCACCUAUUAUAGUUGAAGAAAAUACUAUCACUUAUAAUGAUCCUAUUGUUCCUACUACUUAUGUUGAGAACCCACCUUUUCCUGUUAGGAUAAAGGAUCAUGCUAAAGCUUCAACUGUUGUUCGUAAGAGUAAUACUAGAACAUAUACACCUCCUGAGCAAAUUAAAGUUGAACCUAGUAUUGCUAUGGUUAAAGAUCCCUUGGCUGAUAAUAUUGAUGGGCAUGUUAUUUAUUUCUGUGAGGAAGCUGCUAAUAUUGCUAGACCCGAUGCUUAGAUACAUCGACCUGUCGUAGGCAUGCCUGUUAUUUCUGUUAAAAUAGGAGAUCAUUGUUAUCAUGGCUUAUGUGAUAUGGGUGCUAGUGCAAGUGCAAUACCUAUUUCCUUAUAUCAAGAAAUUAUGCAUGAUAUUGCACCCGCUAAAAUAGAAGAUAUUGAUGUUACUAUUAAGCUUGCAAAUAGAGAUACUAUUUCACCAAUAGGGAUUGUUAGAGAUGUUGAAGUCUUGGGUAGGAAAGUUAAAUAUCCUGCUGAUUUUCUUGUUCUUGGUUCCCCACAAGAUAGCUUUUGUCCCAUUAUAUUUGGUAGACCCUUCUUGAAUACUGUUAAUGCUAAGAUUGAUUGUGAAAAGGAUGUUGUUUACAAUUGGCUUGGGGGAUAUGAAACAUGAGUUUAAUUUUGCUAAGUUUCGUAGACAAACCCAUGAUAAAGAAUUGCCUAGUAAGGAUGACAUUAUUGGCCUUGCUUCUAUUGCCGUGCCUCCUACUGAUCCGUUAGAACAAUAUUUGCUAGACAAUGAAAAUGAUAUGUUUAUGAAUGAAAGAAGGGAAAUAGAUGAAGUAUUCUUUAAACAGGGUCCUAUUUUGAAACACAAUUUACCUGUUGAAAUCCUAGGGGAUCCCCCUCCACCCAAGGGUGAUCCUGUGUUUGAGCUUAAACCUUUACCUGAUAAUCUUAAAUAUGCUUAUCUUGAUGAAAAGAAGAUAUAUCCUGUUAUUAUUAGUGCUAACCUUUCAGAGCAGGAAGAGGAAAGAUUAUUGAAAACUCUGAAGAAGCAUCAUGCUGCUAUUGGAUAUACUCUGGAUGAUCUUAAGGGCAUUAGUCCCACUCUAUGCGAACACAAAAUUAAGUUGGACGAAGACGCCAAACCAGUUAGAGAUCAUCAACGAUGGUUAAAUCCUAACAUGAAAGAAGUGGUAAGAAAGGAAAUACUAAAGCUCCUUGAGGCAGGUAUAAUUUAUCCCGUUGCUGAUAGCGAGUGGGUAAGUCCUGUCCAUUGUGUCCCUAAGAAGGGAGGUAUUACUGUAGUCCCUAAUGAUAAAGAUGAAUUGAUCCCGCAAAUAAUUAUUACAGGUUAUAGGAUGGUAAUUGAUUUUCGUAAAUUAAAUAAAGCUACUAAGAAAGAUCAUUACCCUUUACCUUUUUAUUGAUCAAAUGCUAGAAAGAUUAUCCAAACAUACACAUUUCUACUUUCUAGAUGGUUAUUCUGGUUUCUCUCAAAUACCUAUGUCAGUGGACGAUCAAGCAAAGACUACUUUUACUUGCCCUUUCGUUACUUUUGCUUAUAGAUGUAUGCCUUUUGGUUUAUGUAAUGCACCUGCUACCUUUCAAAGAUGCAUUAUGGCUAUAUUCUCUAACUUUUGUGAAAAGAUUUGUGAGGUGUUCAUGGAUGAUUUCUACGUUUAUGGAUCCUCUUUUGAUGAUUGUUUGAGCAACCUUGAUCGAGUUUUGCAGAGAUGCGAAGACACUAGUCUCAUCUUGAAUUGAGAAAAGUGCCACUUUAUGGUUAAUGAAGGCAUUGUCUUGGGGCAUAAAAUUUCUGAAAGAGGUAUCAAAGUUGAUCAAUCUAAAGUUGAUGCUAUUGAAAAGAUGUCGUGUCCCAAGGACAUUAAAGGUAUAAGAAGUUUCCUUGGUCAUGCUGGUUUUUAUAGAAGGUUCAUUAAGGACUUUCCUAAAGUCUCUAGGUCUCUGACUAAUUUAUUGCAAAAAGAUAUUCCUUUUGUCUUCGAUGAUGAUUGUGUAGAAGCAUUUGAAAUACUUAAGAAAGCUUUGAUCACUGCACCUAUGAAUUUACCUUUUGAAAUUAUGUGUGAUGCUAGCGAUUAUGCUGUAGGUGCUGUUUUAGGACAAAGAGUUGAUAAGAAAUUAAAUGUUAUUCAAUAUGCUAGUAAAACUCUAGACACUGCCUAGAGAAAUUAUGCUACUACUGAAAAAGAAUUCUUAGUAGUUGUAUUUGCUUGUGAUAAGUUCAGACCUUAUAUUGUUGAUUCUAAAGUAACUAUUCACACUGAUCAUGCUGCUAUUAAAUACCUUAUGGAAAAGAAAGAUGCUAAACCUAGACUUAUUAGAUGGGUUCUCUUGCUCCAAGAAUUUGAUUUGCAUAUUAUUGAUAGAAAGGGAGCUGAGAAUGUUGGAAAUAUGCCCUAGAGGCAAUAGUAAAAUGGUUAUUAUUAUAUUUCCUUGUUCAUGAUAAUUGUCUAUUAUUCAUGCUAUAAUUGUAUUGCCCGGAAACCGCAAUACAUGUGUGAAUAUGUAGACCACAACAUGUCCCUAGUGAGCCUCUAGUUGACUAGCUCGUUGAUCAACAGAUGGUCAUGGUUUCCUGACUAUGGACAUUGGAUGUCAUUGAUAACGGGAUCACAUCAUUAGGAGAAUGAUGUGAUGGACAAGACCCAAUCCUAAGCAUAGCACAAGAUCGUGUAGUUCGUUUGCUAAAGCUUUUCUAAUGCCAAGUAUCAUUUCCUUAGACCAUGAGAUUGUGUAGCUCCCGGAUACCGUAGGAGUGCUUUGGGUGUACCAAACGUCACAACGUAACUGGUGACUAUAAAGGUGCUCUACAGGUAUCUCCAAAAGUGUCUAUUGGGUUGGCGCGAAUCGAGACUAGGAUUUGUCACUCCGUAUGACGGAGAGGUAUCUCUAGGCCCACUCGGUAAUGCAUCAUCAUAAUGAGCUCAAUGUGACUAAGUAGUUAGUCACGGGAUCAUGCAUUACGGAACAAGUAAAGUGACUUGCCGGUAACAAGAUUGAACAAGGUAUUGGGAUACCGACGAUCGAAUCUCGGGCAAGUAACGUACCGAUUGACAAAGGGAAUUGUAUACGGGAUUGCUUGAAUCCUUGACAUCAUGGUUCAUCCGAUGAGAUCAUCGUGGAACAUGUGUGAGCCAACAUGGGUAUCCAGAUCCCGCUGUUGGUUAUUGGCCACAGAGCUGUCUUGGUCAUGUCUGCAUGAUUCCCGAACCCGUAGGGUCUACACACUUAAGGUUCGAUGACGCUAGGGUUAUAGGGAAGAUUUGUAUGUGAUUACCGAAUGUUGUUAGGAGUCCCAGUUGAGAUCCCGGACGUCACGAGGAGUUACGAAAUGGUCCAAAGGUGUAGAUUUAUAUAUGGGAAGUCAUCAUACGGUCACCAGAAAUAUUUGGGGGUAUACCGGUAUUGUACCGGGACCACCGGGAGGGUCCAUCUGCCCCGGAGGGCCUUAUGGGCUGUAGGUGGAAGGGAACCAGACCCUAAGUGGGCUGGGCGCCAUCCCCCCUAGGUUCCAUGCGCCUAGGGUUGGGGGAGGGACCCUAAAGGGGGCGCCCCCUUGCUUGGGGGGCAAGCCUCCUCCCCCUUGCCCCCCCUCUAGAUCUCAUCUAGAGGGGCCGAUCCCCUUCCCCCUUCUCCCUAUAAAUAGAGGGGUGGAGGGAGGGCUGCAGCACCACAUCCAAGGCGCAUCCCCUCCCCUCCCCAACACCUCUCCUCCUCCGCGUGAGCUUGGUGAAGCCCUGCCGAAGAACUGCCACUCCAUCACCACCACGCUGUCGUGCUGCUGCUGGAGCCAUCUUCCUCAACCUCUCCCUCCUCCUUGCUAGAUCAAGGUGCAAGAGACGUCACUGAGCUGCACGUGUGUUGAACGCAAAGGUGCCGUUGUUCGGCGCUUAGAUCAGAAUCCGCCGCGAUCUGAAUCGCUACGAGUACGACUCCUUCAUCCGCGUUCUUGCAACGCUUCCGUCUCGCGAUCUUCAAGGGUAUGAAGAUACACUCCCCUCUCUCUCAUUGCUAGUUACUCCAUAGAUUGAUCUUGGUGAUGCGUAGAAUUUUUUUAAUUUCUGCAAUGAUCCCCAACAGUGGCAUCAUGAGCUAGGUCUAUGUGUAGUUUCUAUGCACGAGUAGAACACAAGUUUGUUGUGGGCGUUGAUUUUGUCAAUUUACUUGCCACUACUAGUCUUAUCCUGUUUCGGCGGCAUCGUGGGAUGAAGCGGCCUGGACCGACCUUACACGUACGCUUACGUGAGACAGGUUCCACCGACUGACAUGCACUAGUUGCAUAAGGUGGCUAGCGGGUGUCUGUCUCUCCCACUUUAGUCGGAUUGGAUUCGAUGAAAAGGGUCCUUAUGAAGGGUAAAUAGCAAUUGGCAUAUCACAUUGUGGUUUUUGGCGUAGGUAAAAAACGUUCUUGCUACAAACCUAUAGCAGCCACAUAAAAACUUGCAACAACAAUUAGAGGAUGUCUAACUUGUUUUUGUAGCAUAUGUCAUGUGAUGUGAUAUGGCCAAAAAGGAUGUGAUGAAUGAAAUAUAUGUGAUGUAUGAGAUUAAUCAUGUUCUUGUAAUAGGAAUCACGACUUGCAUGUCGAUGAGCAUGACAAUCGGCAGGAGCCAUAGGAGUUGUCUUUAUUUAUUAUAUGACAUGCGUGUCAUUGAAUAACGCCAUGUAAUUACUUUACUUUAUUGCUAAACCGUUAGCCAUAGUAGUAGAAUUAAUAGUUGGCGAGACAACUUCAUGGAGAUACGAUGAUGGAGAUCACGAUGAUGGAGAUCAUGGUGGUCAUGCCGGUGAUGAUGAUGAUCAUGGCGCCCCGAAGAUGGAGAUCAAAAGUAGCAAAAUGAUACUGGCCAUAUCAUGUCACUAUUUGAUUGCAUGUGAUGUUUAUCAUGUUUUUGUAUCUUAUUUGCUUGGAAAGACGGUAGCAUAAAUAAGAUGACCCCUCAUAAAAUUUCAAGAAAGUGUUCCCCCUAACUGUGCGCCGUUGCGAAAGUUUAUUGUUUUGAAGCACCACAUGAUGAUCGGGUGUGAUAGAUACUAACGUUCGCAUACAACGGGUGUAAUCUAGAUUUACACAUGCAAAACACUUAGGUGGACUUGACGAGCCUAGCAUGUACGGACAUGGCCUUGGAACACAAGAGACCGAAAGGUCUAACAUGAGUCAUAUAGAAGAUACGAUCAACAUGAAGAUGUUCACCGAUGAUGACUAGUCCGUCUCACAUGAUGACCGGACACGACCUAGUUGACUCGGAUCAUGUAUCACUUGGAUGACUAGAGGGAUGUCUAUCUGAGUGGGAGUUCAUUAGAUAAUUUGAUUAGAUGAACUUAUUUAUCAUGAACUUAGUCUAAAAUCUUUGCAAUAUGUCUUGUAGAUCAAAUGGCCCACGCUAAUGUUGCCCUCAACUUCAACGCGUUCCUAGAGAAAACCAAGCUGAAAGACGAUGGUAGCAACUAUACAGACUGGGUCUGAAACUUGAGGAUCAUCCUCAUAGCUGCCAAAAGAGCAUAUGUCCUAGAUGCAUCGCUAGGUGAAGCACCCGUUUUCCCAGCAACUCAAGACGUUAUGAACGCCUGACAGUCGCAUGGUGAUGAUUACUCCCUGGUUCAGUGCCGCAUGCUUUACAGCUUAGAACGGGGGCUCCAAAAGCGUUUUGAGCAGCACAGAGCAUAUGAAAUGUUCCAAGAGCUGAAAAUGGUUUUCCAAGCUCAUGCCCGGGUCGAGAGAUAUGAAGUCUCCGACAAGUUGUACAGUUGAAAGAUAGAGGAGAAUAGUUCUGUCAGCGAGCACAUACUCAAAAUGCCUGGGUUGCACAACCGCUUGUCUCAGCUGGGAGUUAAUCUCCCGGAUGACGCGGUCAUUGACAUAAUCCUUCAGUCGCUCCCACCUAGCUACAAGAGCUUUGUAAUGAACUAAAAUAUGCAGGGGAUGGUGAAAACCAUUCCUGAGGUCUUUUCAAUGCUAAAAUCAGCGGAGGUGGAGAUCAAAAAGGAACAUCAAGUGUGGAUGGUCAAUAAAACCACUAGUUUCAAGAAAGGCAAGGGUAAGAAGAACUUCAAGAAGGACGGCAAGGGAGUUGCCGCGCCCGGUAAGCCAGUUGCCGGGAAGAAGCCAAAGCAUGGACCCAAACCUGAGACUGAAUGCUUUUAUUGCAAGGGAAACGGUCAAUGGAAGCGGAACCGCCCCAAGUACUUAGCGGACAAGAAGGCCGGCAACACCAAAGUUAUAUGUGAUAUACAUUUAUUGAUGUGUACCUUACCAGUACUCGUAGUAGCUCCUGGGUAUUUGAUACCGGUGCGGUUGCUCAUAUUUGUAACUCAAAACAGGAGCUGCGGAAUAAGCGGAGACUGGCGAAGGACAAGGUGACGAUGCGCGUCGGGAAUGGUUCCAAGGUCAAUGUGAUCGCCGUCGGCACGCUACCUCUACAUUUACCUACGGGAUUAGUUUUAAACCUUAGUAAUUAUUAUUUAGUGCCAGCUUUAAGCAUGAACAUUGUAUCUGGAUCUCGUUUAAUAUGAGAUGGCUACCCAUUUAAAUCCGAGAAUAAUGGUUAUUCUAUUUAUAUGAGAGAUAUGUUUUAUGGUCAUGCCCUGCUGGUCAAUGGUUUAUUCUUAAUGAAUCUCGAAUGUGAUGUUACACAUAUUCAUAGUGUGAAUACCAAAAGAUGUAAGAUUGAUAAUGAUAGUCCCACAUACCUGUGGCACUCCCGCCUUGGUCACAUUGGUGUCAAGCGCAUGAAGAAGCUCCAUGCAGAUGGACUUUUGGAGUCUCUUGAUUACGAAUCAUUUGACACGUGCGAACCAUGCCUCAUGGGAAAAAUGACCAAGACUCCAUUCUCCGGAACAAUGGAGCGAGCAACCAACUUAUUGGAAAUCAUACAUACUAAUGUGUGCGGUCCAAUAAGCGUUGAGGCUUGAUACGUCUCCAAUGUAUCUACUUUUCCCAACACUUUUGCCCUUGUUUUGGACUCUAACUUGCAUGAUUUGAAUGAAACUAACCCGGACUGACGAUGUUUUCAGGAGAACUGCCAUGAUGUUGUUUUAUGUGUAGAAAAGAAAAGUUCUCGGAAUGUCCUGAAAAUCCACAAAGGCACUUUUUGGAAUUAAUAAGAGUUUCUAGGCGAAAGAAAUACACCAGGAGGCCCAGGGCCUGUCCAUGAGACAUGCCCCCACCUGUAGGGUGCGCCCCCUAUCUCGUGGCCCCCCUGGACCUCCACCGACCUCAACUUUAAUUCCAUAUAUUCCGUCUCGCAGAGAAAAAAAUCAGAGAGAAAGUUUCAUUGCAUUUUACGACACGGAGCCGCCACAAAGCCCUAAUCUCUCUCGGGAGGGCUGAUCUGGAGUCCGUUCGGGGCUCCGGAGAGGGGGAUUCGUCGCCGUCGUCAUCAUCAACCAUCCUCCAUCACCAAUUUCAUGAUUCUCACCACCGUGCGUGAGUAAUUCCAUCAUAGGCUUGCUAGACGGUGAUGGGUUGGAUGAGAUUUACCAUGAAUCAAGUUAGUUUUGUUAGGGUUUGAUCCCUAGUAUCCACUAUGUUCUGAGAUUGAUGUUGCUAUGACUUUGCUAUGCUUAAUGCUUGUCACUAGGGCCCGAGUGCCAUGAUUUAAGAUCUGAACCUAUUAUGUUUUCAUCAAUAUAUGUGUGUUCUUGAUCCUAUCUUGCGAGUCUGUAGUCACCUAUUAUGUGUUAUGAUCCGACAACCCCGAAGUGACAAUAAUCGGGAUACUUCUCGGUGAUGAUCGUAGUUUGAGGAGUUCAUGUAUUCACUAUGUAUUAAUGCUUUGGUAUGGUUCUCUAUUAAAAGGAGGCCUUAAUAUCCCUUAGUUUCCACUAGGACCCCACUGCCAUGGGAGGGUAGGACAAAAGAUGUCAUGCAAGUUCUUUUCCAUAAGCACGUAUGACUAUUUAUGGAAUACAUGCCUACAUUACAUUGAUGAACUGGAGCUAGUUCUGUGUCACCCUAUGUUAUACCUAUUACAUGAGGAAUCGCAUCCGGCAUAAUUAUCCAUCACUGAUCCAUUGCCUACGAGCUUUUCACAUAUUGUUCUUCGCUUAUUUACUUUUCCGUUGCUGCUGUUACAAUCACUACAAAACACCAAAAAUAUUGCUAUUACUAUCUUUACCUUUUAUCACCGUUACCAUUACUAUCAUACUAUUUUGCUACUAAAUACUUUGCUGCAGAUACUAACUUAUCCAGGUGUGGUUGAAUUGACAACUCAACUGCUAAUACUCAAGAAUAUUCUUUGGCUCCCCUUGUGUCGAAUCAAUAAAUUUGGGUUGAAUACUUUACCCUCGAAAGCUGUUGCGAUCCCCUACACUUGUGGGUUAUCAAGACUAAUUUCUGGCGCUGUUGCCGGGGAGCAUAGCUAUAUUCUUUGAGUCACCUGGGAUUUAUAUCUGUUGAUCACUAUGAAGAAUUUGAAAGACUCUAAAACCAAGAUCUAUCCCUCAACUACAAGGGAGGUAAGGAACUGCCAUCUAGCUUUGCACUAGAUUCUCCUUCUGUUAUUAGUAGGCUUGUGACACCUAAACCUGCUACUGCUAUGAAUUCUGAUAUGUCGCAUGUUAUUGAUGAUGCUACAUCCGCUAUGCAUGAUGAAACUACUUCUGUGCGUAAUACUACUGUGCUAUUAGGUGAAUUUCUUGAUGAACAACUUGCUAGGGCUAGACAGAAUGAAACUAUUGAAGAUGCUAUUAUUGAUGAUAGUGAUGAUGAACGUUCUCCGAAUGAUUAUGAAUUGCCAGUUGUUCCUGAGGGUUAUGUUAUGAAUAAAGAAGCUGCUGAAGCUAUUUUUGCCUGCAAAGAUAGAUAUGAUCUUAAGAAACUAUUAGCUAAAUGGAAGCAGCAGUCUCUUAAUGCUAGAAUGAAACCUGACCCUGCUUUUGCUACUUCACCUAUCUGUGUUACUGAUAAGGAUUAUGAAUUCUCUAUUGAUCCUGAAAUUAUUACUUUGGUAGAAUCUGAUCCUUUUUAUGGCCUUGAAUCUGAAACUGUUGUGGCACAUCUUACCAAGUUGAAUGAUAUAGCUACCCUGUUUACUCAUGAUGAUAGAUCUCGCUACUUUUAUAUCCUUAAGAUAUUCCCGUUCUCAUUAAAGGGUGAUGCUAAGACUUGGUAUAAUUCUCUUGCUCCUGGUUGUGUGCGUAGUCCCCAGGAUAUGAUUUAUUACUUCUCUGCUAAAUAUUUUCCUGCUCAUAAGAAACAAGCUGCCUUGCGGGAAAUAUAUAAUUUUGUGCAAAUAAAAGAAGAGAGUCUCCCACAAGCUUGGGGGAGGCUUCUCCGAUUACUUAAUGCUUUGCCGGAUCAUCCACUUAAGAAAAAUGAAAUACUUGAUAUCUUCUAUAAUGGACUAACCGAUGCUUCCAAGGACUACUUGGAUAGUUGUGCUGGUUGUGUUUUCAGGGAAAGAACAGUCGAUGAAGCUGAGUUACUAUUGAAUAAUAUGUUGACUAAUGAAAAUAAUUGGACUCUCCCUGAGCCAAUUCCUGAACCAAUUGAGCCAACUCCUGAGCCUAUUCCUAAACCCACUCCGAAGAAGAGAGGUGUUCUAUUUCUCAGUCCUGAAGAUAUGCAAGAGGCAAAGAAAUCAAUGAAAGAAAAAGGUAUUAAAGCUGAAGAUGUUAAUAAUUUACCUCCUAUUGAAGAAAUACAUGGUCUUAACAUAUCGCCUAUUGAAGAAACACAUUGUCUUGAUAACCCGACACACGUAGUCCUUGGAAGCAUCGGUUAGUCCAUUAUAGACAAGCAAAUUUCAUAGCCCUUGCUUAGAUGAAUUUGAUGAUUUCAUGAAUAGACAAGCAAAUUUCAAUGAUUAUGUUGGUAGACAAUUGAAGAAUAAUUCUUAUAUGAUAGUACGCUUGAAUGAUUAUGUAGCUAGAGUUAAAAGUGAACUUAAACUCACUAGUAAACAUGCUUCCAUGAUUGCUACUCAAGCUGAACAAGUACUUAAGGCUCAGAACGAAUUGCUAGCUGAAUUAAAUAAUAAAAAUGACUUUGCUAUUAGAGUGGCUACUAGAACUGGUAGAAUGACUCAGGAACCUUUGUAUCCUGAAGGCCACCCUAAAAGAAUUGAACAAGAUUCUCAGAAUAAUAAUCUAGAUGCUCCUAGAUCUUCUAAGAAGAAGAAAAAGAAGAAUGAUAGGACAUUGCAAACUUCUAGUGAACCUAAUGUAGAAAUACCUGAGAAUCCUAAUAAUACUUCUAUCUCUGAUGCUGAAACACAAUCCAGAGAUGAACAUGAACCUGAUGAUAAUGCUAAUAAUGAUGUUCAUGUAGAUGCUCAACCUAGCAAUAACAAUGAUAUAGAAAUUGAUCCUGCUAUUGGUCUUGAUAACCCACAAUCAAGAAACCAACGUUAUGAUAAGAGAGAUUUUGUUGCUAGGAAGCAUGGUAAAGAAAGAGAACCAUGGGUUCAGAAACCCAUGCCCUUUCCUCCUAAACCAUCCAAGUCAAAGGAUGAUGAGGACUUUGAGCGUUUUGCUGAAAUGAUUAGACCUAUUUUCUUAUGCAUGCGCUUAACUGAUAUGCUUAAAACAAACCCUUAUGCUAAAUAUAUGAAAGAUAUCAUCACUAAUAAGAGGAAAAUACCUGAAACUGAGAUUUCCACCAUGCUUGCCAACUAUACCUUUAAGGGUGGAAUACCUAAGAAACUUGGUGAUCCCGGAGUACCCACUAUACCUUGCUCUAUUAAAAGAAAUUAUGUUAAAACUGCUUUAUGUGAUUUAGGAGCCGGUGUUAGUGUUAUGCCUCUUUCCUUGUACCGUAGACUUGAAUUAAGUAAGUUGACACCUACUGAGAUAGCUUUGCAAAUGGCUGACAAAUUAACUGCUAUACCUGUGGGCAUUUGUGAGGACGUGCCUGUUGUUGUUGCAAAUGUUACUAUCUUAACAUACUUCGUUAUUCUUGAUAUUCCCGAGGACGAUAGUAUGUCUAUUAUUCUUGGUAGACCCUUUUUAAAUACUGCAGGAGCUGUUAUUGAUUGCAACAAGGGCCAUGUCACCUUUCAUGUUAACGGAAAUGAGCACACGGUACAUUUUCCGAGGAAGCAAAUCCAAGUUCAUAGCAUAAAUACUAUUAAGAAAAUUCCAUCAAUUAUUAUUGGAGGUUCUGAAUUUCUUCUCCCUACUGUCAAGAAAAAGUAUGAUAUUCUUAUUGUUGGGGAUUUUCAUAUCCCCGUUGAGGUAACUUAGUGUUAUUCGAAAUUUCUCCGAUUCCGUGCUAUUCGGAAACAAUUUGUUAACAAGACUUGAUCAACCUUGUUAGUGGGUUCAUUUUGACGAUCACGAGAUGGAUGAAACUAGAAGGCAUACCCUUUUGUACCCUCUUUUUACUUUCUGUCUUCUAGAUUAAAUAAAGCAAAAAUAGUAUUAUCCGUCUGUUUUCUCAAUUAUCCAUGCAAUAAAAAAUAGUCCAAAAAUAAAAGUGCUCCAAAUGCCUUGCAAAUUUAGUAUGAUUUUUAUGGAAUAUUUGAGGAUUUUAGGCACUGAAAACACUGCAGGAGGGGCAAGCACCAGACCACGAGAGUGGAGGGCGCGCCCCCUGUCUUGUGGGUCCCUGGUAGCCCCCCUCCACUUAUGCCAACACCCACACACUCCAUCUUCUACCCAAAAAAAUCCCCAUCUAGCUCAAGCACGAGUUCUAGCUCAUUUUGCUGCGAUUUUCGAUCUCCUUGCUCAAAGCUCCAUUCACAAAACUGCUUUGGGAGAUUGUUGCUUGGUAUGUGACUCCUCCAUUGGUCCAUUUAGUUUUUGUUCUAGUGCUUUACUCAUUGCAAAUCCUUGCUUCCUUGGUGACCCUGUUCUUGAGCGUGCAUGUUAAAUUUAUGAGGUUCCAAGUAAUUCUAAUGCAUGAUAUAGGCUCUAGGCACUUGUAGGAGUAGUUGCUACCAUUCUUGUUAAGCUUUACUCACUUUUAUUUUGAAGUUACUAAAAUUUCAGAAAUUUUCAGAAAAUGUUACGGAGACUUUUGAGGGUCUCUUCUAGCCAUGGUUCUCAGGAAAAACAAGCUAAAGAGAAGGAAAAAGCCAAGUAUAAUCUUCCUCGCUUAGCGGAAGUACAGUCGUGUGAAUGGCCAUGUGAUAAUUUCUUGAAAGAAGCUGGAAUUCAUGAAGAUUUUUAUUCUUUGAUUGAGAGUGCAAGCCUCAACAAUUUUCUCCUCGACCGAAUAGAUCAGUAUCUCUUGCUUACCAAUACUUUCGUGCAAAACUUUUAUUAUUAUCCUAAGAAGUCACCACCUUCAGUAUCAUUUCAUUUAUAUGAUGAAUUCAGAGAAAUGACUUUACGUGACUUUUGCGCGGUAUGUAAGAUACCUUUUGGGGGAGAAUUAGAGGAACCCCAUCGUGAAGAUGUGGAGGGCUUUGUUAACACUAUAGAUGUAGAGGAGCCAAAGAAAGGUUCCGAGGCAAAAAUCUCUAGCAUACACUUUCCUGUUUUACGAUACUUUGCUAUAUUUGCUAGUAGAUGCUUGAUUGGUCAUGGAAAUAGUGGAAACUUAAGUGUUCCUGAUAUUAUCAUUCUUCAACAUGCCUUGCUUGGAGACAAUACUCUUAGUAUGGGUGCCGUCGUUGCUAAGCGGCUAGCCCUGAAUCGUACAAAAGGCCCCAUAUUUGGAGGUAUCUAUGCUUCACGUCUUGCUAGACAUUUUAGGAUACCUAUUAGGCAUCUUGAGAAAGAGGAGACAACAUUACCUCCUCACAUUUUAGAUUACAAGAGCAUGGUAGCACACAAGUUUAUUGUCGACAACAAAGAGAGGAAGCUCUUGUAUAAACUUAGAUUCAAUAAGAAACACUUUGAGAUUAUUAUUUUGCCUGCGCCUCUGUUGUUUGAUUUGCUUGCAGAAAAAUUUCUCGUCACACCGGAAGCGGUGAACAAUCAUCGAGCCCAAGCUUUUACUCCAGAACCUGAACCUGAGCGGAACCUGAACUGGACCCUUAUCGUGCAUCAUCUGUCCAAUGGGAUCCGGAGAUGACCAGCCAGUGGUAUCCUAAUUACACCUCUCAUUACACCGGGGAGAGUAGUGGAGGUCCCUGGUAUUAGACCAACUUAGGCCAAAAUCCUAAGCUUGGGGGAGUACGUAUUUCUCACCGACUUUACAUUCAUGUUCACACACUAGUUGUUGGUGCUCAUACUCUUUCAUUGUAUUAUCCAUGUUAGUUUAAAUUUCUUUUUCUAGUUUUCUUCUUGUGUGUUUGAUAAACCUUGAGAAAAACCAAGAAAAUUAGUUAGCUUAAUUUACAUGCUUGUAGUAGAAUUAAAAUGAAAAACCCAAAAAUAUUUCUCGUUCUUCUUUUACUUGUUGGGAGCUUUCCCGUGUAAAUAGUUUUAUUUUCUUUUCUUUCCUUUGAGGGGUCGAGAAGACCAUAUUGAAAAUGUUUAGUGGCUCUCAUAUGCAUGAUUGUUUAUUUAAUUUAGAGCCCAUAUUACUUGUCUUCUCUUUUGAGUUGAAUGCUUGCAGAUUCCAGCUUAGUCCAAUGCAUGUACACUUUUAUUAUUAUACACAUUGUUCGGUCGUGCAAGUGAAAGGUAAUAAUGAUGAUAUAUGAUGGACUUAUUGGGAUGAGAAAAGCUGGUAUGAACUCGACCUCUCUUGUUUUUGUAAAUAUGAUGAGUUCAUUGUUCUUGAUUCAUCUUAUUAUGAAGUAAACAUAUUUGCAAUAACAUUUAGAGAUUAUAGUUGCUUGUGCCAUGCUUGAUUAGCUUUGAGUUAUAAUGGUUUACCCUGCGUGCCAACAUGCUAUUAGAAUGAUUAUGAUGUGGUAUGAUGGGAUGGUAUCCUCCUUUGAAUGAAUUGAGUGACUCGACUUGGCACAUGUUCACGCAUGUAGUUGAAACAAAAUAAACAUAGCCUUCACGAUAUUUAUGUUCAUGGUGGAUUAUAUCCUACUCAUGUUUGUACUUGGUGUGAAUUAGUUUUAAUGCAUGUUUAUGGCUGUUGUCGCUCUUUCAGUUAGUCGCUUCCCAGUCUUUUGCUAGCCUUCACCUAUACUAAGCGGGAAUACUGCUUGUGCAUCCAAACUCCUUAAACCCCAAAGUUGCUCCAUAUGAGUCCACCAUACCUUCCUAUAUGCGGUAUUUACCUGCCGUUCCAAGUAAAUUUGUAUGUGCCAAACUCUAAACCUUCAAAUGAAAUUCUAUUUUGUAUGCUCUAGCCGCUCAUGUUUCCACUAGGGCUGCCUAUAUCUUCCAUGCUAGGUGGGUUAUUCUCAGAGGAGUGGACUCCGCUCCUCAUUCAUGAGAAAGGUCCGGUAACCGGGAUGCCCAGUCCCAUGAUCCAAAAAGAUCAAAGCAAAUCAAAAUAAUUAAACAAAACUCCCCCAGGGCUGUUGUUAGUUGGAGGCACUCAUUGUUUCGAGCAAGCCAUGGAUUGAUGCCUGUUGGUGGUCGGGGGAGUAUAAACUUUUACCAUUCUGCGUGGGAACUGCCUAUAAUGCACGUAGUAUGGAAGAUACAACCAUCUCAUAGUUGUUCCGUUAACAGCGAAAGUAUGCCGCUCAAAAUGUUAUUCAAUCUCUAUUUUAAAAUUCAAGCUCUGGCACCUCUACAAAUCUCUGCUUCCCUCUGCGAAGGGCCUAUCUAUUUAUUUUUAUGUUGAGUCAUCACUUCUUAUUAAAAAGCACCCGCUGGAGAGCACACUGUCAUUUGCGUUCAUUACUAUUGGUUUAUAUUGGGUAUGACUUGACUGGAUCUCUUUUACCAUGAAUUACAAUGUUUAGUCAGUCCUUGAUCUUUAAAGGUGCCCUGCAUUUAUGUUUUGCGGUCUCAGAAAGGGCUAGCGAGAUACCAUUUUGUUAUAUCAUGUUAUGAUUGUUUUGAGAAAGUGUUUUCAUCCGAGUUUUAUUAUUAUGGCUCGCUAGCUGAUUAUGUUAUUGAUAUGAGUAAUUGUGAGACCUAAGUGUUAUUGUGAAUAUGGUUAGUUCAUAAUAUUUGUUGAAACCUGAAUGAUGGCUUUGCAUGUUUACAACAACAAGAGCAAAUAGAGUUUGUAAAAGUUUUUCUUUGUCACUUUCAGUUUAUCAACUGAAUUGCUUGAGGACAAGCAAAGGUUUAAGCUUGGGGGAGUUGAUACGUCUCCAACGUAUCUACUUUUCCAAACACUCUUGCCCUUGUUUUGGACUCUAACUUGCAUGAUUUGAAUGAAACUAACCCGGACUGACGCUGUUUUCAGCAGAACUGCCAUGAUGUUGUUUUAUGUGUAGAAAAGAAAAGUUCUUGGAAUUUCCUGAAAAUCCAUAGAGGCACUUUUUGGAAUUAAUAAGAAUUUCUGGGCGAAAGAAAUACACCAGGGGGCCCAGGGCCUGUCCACGAGACAGGGGGCGUGCCCCCCCUGUAAGGCGCGCCCCCUAUCUCGUGGGCCCCCUGGACCUCCACCGACCUCAACUCCAACUCCAUAUAUUCCGUCUCGCGGAGAAAAAAUCAGAGAGAAAGUUCAUCGCGUUUUACGACACGGAGCCGCCGCCAAGCCCUAAUCUCUCUCGGGAGGGCUGAUGUGGAGUCCGUUCGGGGCUCCGGAGAGGGGGAUUCGUCGCCGUCGUCAUCAUCAACCAUCCUCCAUCACCAAUUUCAUGAUGCUCACCGCCGUGCUUGAGUAAUUCCAUCGUAGGCUUGCUGGACGGUGAUGGGUUGGAUGAGAUUUACCAUGUAAUCAAGUUAGUUUUGUUAGGGUUUGAUCUCUAGUAUCCACUAUGUUCUGAGAUUGAUGUUGCUAUGACUUUGCUAUGCUUAAUGCUUGUCAGUAGGGCCCGAGUGCCAUGAUUUCAGAUCUGAACCUAUUAUGUUUUCAUCAAUAUAUGUGUGUUCUUGAUCCUAUCUUGCAAGUCUAUAGUCACCUAUUAUGUGUUAUGAUCCGACACCCCGAAGUGACAAUAAUCGGGAUACUUCUCGGUGAUGAUCGUAGUUUGAGGAGUUCAUGUAUUCACUAUGUGUUAAUGCUUUGGUCCGGUUCUCUAUUAAAAGGAGGCCUUAAUAUCCCUUAGUUUCCACUAGGACCCCGCUGCCACGGGAGGGUAGGACAAGAGAUGUCAUGCAAGUUCUUUUCCAUAAGCACAUAUGACUAUUUACGGAAUACAUGCCUACAUUACAUUGAUGAACUGGAGCUAGUUCUGUGUCACCCUAUGUUAUAGCUAUUACAUGAGUAAUCGCAUCCGGCAUAAUUAUCCAUCACUGAUCCAUUGCGUACGAGUGUUUCACAUAUUGUUCUUCGCUUAUUUACUUUUCCGUUGCUGCUGUUACAAUCACUACAAAACACCAAAAAUAUUGCUAUUACUAUCUUUACAUUUUAUCACCAUUACCAUUACUAUCAUACUAUUUUGCUAAUAAAUACUUUGAUGCAGAUACUAAGUUAUCCAGGUGUGGUUGAAUUGACAACUCAACUGCUAAUACUCAAGAAUAUUCUUUGGCUCACCUUGUGUCGAAUCAAUAAAUUUGGGUUGAAUACUUUACCCUCGAAAGCUGUUGCGAUCCCCUACACUUGUGGGUUAUCAAGGCUCGUGGAGGCUAUCGUUUUGUUCUCACCCCCACUGAUGACUUAAGUAGAUAUGGGUAUGUUUACUUGAUGAAACACAAGCCUGAGACCUUUGAGAAGUUCAAGGAAUUUCAGAGUGAGGUGGAGAAUCAACGUGACAGAAAAAUAAAGUUCUUACGAUCAGAUCAUGGGGGAGAAUAUUUGAGUCACGAGUUUGGUACGCACUUAAGGAAAUGUGGAAUUGUUUCACAACUCACUCCACCUAGAACACCUCAGCGUAAUGGUGUGUCCGAACGUCGUAAUCGCACUGUAUUGGAUAUGGUGUGAUCUAUGGUGUCUCUUACUGAUUUACCACUAUCAUCUUGGGGAUACGCUUUAGAGACAACUACAUUCACUUUAAAUAGGGCACCGCCUAAACCCGUUGGGACGACACCAUAUGAAUUAUGGUUUGGGAAGAAACCUAAGCAGUCAUUUCUAAAAGUUUGGGGAUGCGAUGCUUAUGUCAAGAAACUUCAACCUGAAAAGCUCGAACCCAAGUCGGAAAAAUGCGUCUUCAUAGGAUAUCCUAAGGAAACCAUUGGUUAUACCUUCUACCUCAGAUCCGAAGGCAAGAUCUUUGUUGCCAAGAACGGGUCCUUUAUGGAGGAAGAGUUUCUCUCGAAAGAAGUAAGUGGGAGGAAGGUAGAACUUGAUGAAGUAUUGCCUCUUGAACCGGAAAGUAGCGCAGCUCAGGAAGAUGUUUCUGUGGUGCCUGCACCGACUAGAGAGGAAGUUAAUGAUGAUGAUAAAGGUACUUCAGAUCAAGUUGCUACUGAACUUUGUAGGUCCACAAGGACACGUUCCACACUAGAAUGGUAUGGCAACCCUGUCCUGGAAAUCAUGUUGUUAGACAAUGGUGAACCUUCGAACUAUGAAGAAGCGAUGGCGGGCCUAGAUUCCAACAAAUGGCUUGAAGCCAUGCAAUACGAGAUAGGAUCCAUGUAUGAAAACAAAGUAUGGACUUUGACAGACUUGCCCGAUGAUCGGCGAGAAAUAGAAAAUAAAUGGACCUUUAAGAAGAAGACGGACAUGGAUGGUAAUGUUACCAUCUAUAAAGCUCGGCUUGUCGCUAAGUGUUACCGACAAGUUCAAGGGGUUGACUACGAUGAGACCUUCUCACCCAUAGCGAAGCUGAUGUCCGUCUGAAUCUUGUUAGCAAUUGCUGCAUUCUAUGAUUAUGAGAUAUGGCAAAUGGACGUCAAAAUGGCAUUCCUUAACGGUUUCCUCAAGGAAGAAUUGUAUGUGAUGCAGCUGGAAGGUUUUGUCGAUCCUAAGAAUGCUAACAAGGUGUGCAAGCUCCAGCGCUCCAUCUAUGGGCUGGUGCAAGCAUCUCAGAGUUGGAACAUUCACUUUGAUGAAAAGAUCAAAGCGUUUGGGUUUGUGCAGACUUAUGGAGAAGCCUGCGUUUACAAGAAAGUGAGUGGGAGCUCUGUAGCAUUCUCAUAUUAUAUGUGGAUGACAUACUAUUGAUGGGAAAUGAUAUAGAACUUUUGGAUAGCAUAAAGGCCUACUUGAAUAAGUGUUUUUCAAUGAAGGACCUUGGAGAAGCUGCUUACAUAUUAGGCAUCAAGAUCUAUAGAGAUAGAUCAAGAUGCCUCAUAGGUCUUUCACAAAGCACAUACCUUGAUAAGAUAUUGAAGAAGUUCAAUAUGGAUCAAUCCAAGAAGGGGUUCUUGCCUGUAUUGUAAGGUGUGAAAUUGAGCUCGGCUCAAUGCCCAACCUCGGCAGAAGAUAGAGAAAAGAUGAGUGUCAUCCCCUAUGCCUCGGCCAUAGGGUCUAUUGCGUAUGCCAUGCUGUGUACCAGACGUGAUGUAAACCUUGCCGUAAGUUUGGUAGAGAGGUACCAAAGUAAUCUCGGCAUGGAACACUGGACAGCGGUUAAGAAUAUCCCGAAGUACCUGAAAAGGACUAAGGAUAUGUUUCUCAUUUAUGGAGGUGACAAAGAGCUCAUCGUAAAGGGUUAAGUCGAUGCUAGCUUCGACACAGAUCUAGAUGACUCCAAGUCACAAACCGGAUACGUGUAUAUUUUGAAUGGUCAGGCAGUAAGCUGGUGCAGUUGCAAGCAAAGCGUCGUCGCGGGAUCCACAUGUGAAGCAGAGUACAUGGCAGCCUCAGAGGCAGCACAUGAAGCAACCUGGAUGAAGGAGUUCAUUACCGACCUAGGAGUUAUUCCCAAUGCGUCGGGCCCGAUGACUCUCUUCUAUGACAACACUGGAGCUAUUGCCCUUGCCAAGGAGCCUAGGUUUCACAAGAAGACCAGGCACAUCAAGCGUCGCUUCAACUCCAUUUGUGAAAAUGUUCAAGAUGUAGACAUAGAUAUUUGUAAAGUGCAUACGGAUCUGAAUGUCGCAGAUCCGUUGACUAAACCUCUUCCACGAGCAAAACAUGAUCAACACCAGAACUCUAUGGGUGUUUGAUUCAUCAUAGUGUAACUAGAUUAUUGGAAAUAUGCCCUAGAGGAAAUAAUAAAAUGGUUAUUAUUAUAUUUCCUUGUUCAUGAUAAUUGUCUAUUAUUCAUGCUAUAAUUGUAUUGACCGGAAACUGUAAUACAUGUGUGAAUACGUAGACCACAACAUGUCCCUAGUGAGCCUCUAGUUUGACUAGCUCGUUGAUCAACAGAUGGUCAUGGUUUCCUGACUAUGGACAUUGGAUGUCAUUGAUAAUGGGAUCACAUCAUUAGGAGAAUGAUGUGAUGGACAAGACCCAAUCCUAAGCAUAGCACAAGAUCGUGUAGUUCGUUUGCUAAAGCUUUUCUAAUGUCAAGUAUCAUUUCCUUAGACCAUGAGAUUGUGUAACUCCCGGAUACCGUAGGAGUGCUUUGGGUGUACCAAACGUCACAACGUAACUGGGUGACUAUAAAGGUGCUCUAGAGGUAUCUCCAAAAGUGUCUGUUGGGUUGGCGUGAAUCGAGACUGGGAUUUGUCACUCCGUAUGACGAAGAGGUAUCUCUGGGCCCACUCGGUAAUGCAUCAUCAUUAUGAGCUCAAUGUGACUAAGUAGUUAGUCACGGGAUCAUGCAUUACAGAACGAGUAAAGUGACUUGCCGGUAAUGAGAUUGAACGAGGUAUUGGGAUACCGACGAUCGAAUCUCGGGCAAGUAAUGUACCUAUUGACAAAGGGAAUUGUAUACGGGAUUGCUUGAGUCCUUGACAUCAUGGUUCAUCCGAUGAGAUCAUCGUGGAACAUGUGGGAGCCAACAUGGGUAUCCAGAUCCCACUGUUGGUUAUUGGCCACAGAGGUGUCUCGGUCAUGUCUGCAUGAUUCCCGAACCCGUAGGGUCUACACACUUAAGGUUCGAUGAUGCUAGGGUUAUAGGGAAGAUUUGUAUGUGAUUACCGAAUGUUGUUCGGAGUCCCGGAUGAGAUCCCGGAUGUCACGAGGAGUUCCAGAAUGGUCCGGAGGUGAAGAUUUAUAUAUUGGAAGUCAUCAUACGGUCACCAGAAAUAUUCGGGGGUAUACCGGUAUUGUACCGGGACCACCGGAGGGGUUCCGGGGGUCCACCGGGAGGGUCCACCUGCCCCGGAGGGCCUUAUGGGCUGUAGGUGGAAGGGAACCAGCCCCUAAGUGGGCUAGGCGCCAUCCCCCUAGGGCCCAUGCGCCUAGGGUUGGGGGGGGAGCCAUAAAGGGGGCGCCCCCUUGCUUGGGGGGCAAGCCCCCCCCCCCCUUGGCCGCCGCCCCCUCUAGAUCUCAUCUAGAGGGGCCGGCCCCCUUCCCCCUUCUCCCUAUAAAUAGAGGGGUGGAGGGAGGGCUGCAACACCACAUCCAAGGCGCAGACCCUCCCCUCCCCAACGCCUCUCCUCCUCCGCGUGAGCUUGGCGAAGCCCUGCCGGAGAACUUCCACUCCAUCACCACCACGCCGUCGUGCUACUACUGGAGCCAUCUUCCUCAACCUCUCCCUCCUCCUUGCUGGAUCAAGGUGUGGGAGACGUCACCGGGCUGCACGUGUGUUGAAUGCGGAGGUGCCGUUGUUCUUCGCUUAGAUCGGAAUCCGCCGCGAUCUGAAUCGCUACGAGUACGACUCCUUCAUCCGCGUUCUUGCAACGCUUCUGUCUUGCGAUCUUCAAGGGUAUGAAGAUGCACUCCCCUCUCUCUUGUUGCUAGUUACUCCAUAGAUUGAUCUUGGUGAUGCAUAGAAUUUUUUUAAUUUCUGCAAUGAUCCCCAACAGAGAACCCCGUUGUAGACAACUUGUCUAGGUUAGAGAGUGUUCUUGAUGACCCAUUACCUAUUGAUGAUAGCUUUCCUGAUGAACAAUUAGCGGUCAUAAAUAUUUCUCGUACUGCUCCGUGGUAUGUUGAUUAUGCUAAUUACAUUGUUGCUAAAUUUAUACCACCUAGUUUCACAUACCAGCAGAAGAAAAAGUUCUUUUAUGAUUUAAGACAUUACUUCUGGGAUGACCCACACAUUUAUAAAGAAGGAGUAGAUGGUGUUAUUAGACGUUGUGUACCUGAGCAUGAACGGGAACAGAUCCUAUGCAAGUGUCACUCCGAGGCAUAUGGAGGACACCAUGCUAGAGAUAGAACUGCACAUAAGGUAUUGCAAUCCGGUUUUUAUUGGCCUACUCUCUUCAAAGAUGCCCGUAAGUUUGUCUUGUCUUGUGAUGAAUGUCAAAGAAUUGGUAAUAUUAGUAGACGUCAAGAAACGCCUAUGAAUUUUUCUCUUAUUAUUGAACCAUUUGAUGUUUGGGGCUUCGAUUAUAUGGGACCUUUUCCUGCCUCCAAUGGAUAUACACAUAUUUUAGUUGCUGUUGAUUAUGUUACUAAGUGGGUAGAAGCUAUUCCAACUAGUAGUGUUGAUCAUAACACUUCUAUUAAGAUGCUUAAAGAAGUUAUUUUUCCGAGGUUUGGAGUCCCUAGAUACUUAAUGACUAAUGGUGGUUCACAUUUUAUUCAUGGUGCCUUUCGUAAAAUGCUUGCUAAGUAUGAUGUUAAUCAUAGAAUUGCAUCUCCAUAUCACCCACAGUCUAAUGGUCAAGUAGAAUUUGAGUAAUAGAGAACUCAAAUUAAUUUUGCAAAAGACUGUUAAUAGAUCUAGAAAGAAUUGGUCCAAGAAACUUGAUGAUGCAUUAUGGGCUUAUAGAACUGCAUAUAAGAAUCCUAUGGGUAUGUCUCCGCAUAAAAUGGUUUAUGUAAAAGCAUGUCACUUACCUCUUGAACUUGAACAUAAGGCAUAUUGGGCCAUUAAAGAGAUCAAUUAUGAUUUCAAACUUGCCGGUGAGAAGAGGUUAUUUGACAUUAGCUCACCUGAUGAAUGAAGAACCCAAGCCUAUGAGAAUGCCAAGCUGUUUAAAGAAAAAGUUAAAAGAUGGCAUGACAAAAGGAUACAAAAGCGUGAGUUUAACGUAGGUGAUUACGUUUUGCUUUUCAACUCUCGUUUAAGAUUUUUUGCAGGAAAACUUCUCUCUAUAUGGGAAGGGCCUUAGGUUAUCGAGGAGGCCUAUCGUUCCUGUGCCAUAAAAAUCAACAGCUUCGAAGGCACAAGUCCAAGGGUGGUGAACGGUCACAGAAUCAAACAUUAUAUCUUAGGUAACCCCAUAAAUGUUGAAACUAAUAUUACUGAAACCGUAACCCCGGAGGAAUGCAUAAGGGACACUUUCCAGAAUGUUUCAGACUCCGAAAAGGAAUAGGUAUGUGGUACGGUAAGUAAACCGACUCCAAAACAGUUCUAAUGGCAAUUUUUCUCUGUUUUGGAAUAUUUAAGAAAAUAGAAAAAUAAGAAGUAGUCCGGGAAGGACACGAGGCGUCCACAAGGGUGGAGGGCACGCCCACCCCUACUGGGCGCGCCCCCUACCUCUUGGGCACCUCAUGUGCUCUCCGGACUCCGUUUUCGUACACGAUACUUCUUUUGGUCGGUAAAAAUUCAUUAUAUAAUAUCCCAAAGGUUUUGACCAUCGUAUCACGCAAAAGUCUUUUGUUUUUGUUUAGAGCUGUUUCUGUUACAGAUUUAGAGCAAGAUGUCUUCUCAAGAGUCAGUCGGGGAGAGUCGGGUGUCCCACCCGACACCAGGUCCAGGAACAAACAACGAUGCUUAUCACUUUGGACCAUCAACGGAGGAUGAGAUGAAGGCCGACUUGAGAAGGAUAGAUGCCAUGGAGGAGGAUCAAGAAGUUACCUAUCGCUUCCGAGCAGGAUUCAUGAUGGGGGAACUACAGAGCUCAGCUGUUCCAAAUUCGGUCAUCCCUUCCAAUGUUAAAUUUCUUUCUUAUGAAAAUAUGAAAAAUAGUGUCACUUGUUCUCCAGAAGCUAUGCAACACCCUUGGGUAAAAGGAGCUUUAGCCGUCACAGGCAAGCUCCGCCAGGAAAAUAUGGACCUCAAGCAACAGGUCAAUAAUCUCAAGGAGGAGAAUCGUAUCCUGAGGGGCAUCAUCGCCAAGAAGAUCGCAACACCAACUCUGAAUAAGGAGACAUAAUCACAUGGGUAUGGGCACUCCCCUUGGCAACUGCCAAGCUUGGGGGAUUUGCCCCGGUAUCGUAUCACCAUCACACUCCUAUCUUUACCUUUUUCUUAGUUCGAUCCUUUUAGUAAUAUCUUGAUCUAGUAGAAUAAAGUUUGUCAUGAAUUAGUUUUGAGUUUUGCUUUGUGAUCCCUCUAUGUAAUCGAGUCUGUGAGAUAUAUAUAAUAAAGAUUAGUGUUGAGUCAAGGGCUUUGCUAUCUUGCUAUGAUCUUGAGUGCAUAAAACAGAAAGAAUAAAAGGAAUAAAAGAGUUCAUAUGGAUCUUAUGGAUAGUAAUGACUUCACACACAAAAAGUAUGAGGCUUAAAAGGUGUUGAGAGUUGGCAAACGUAGUCUUGGUCAUCGUUGCAAUUAAUAGGAAGUAAUAAAGAAAGAGAGGUUUUCACAUAUAAAUAUACUAUCUUGGACAUCUUUUAUGAUUGUGAGCACUCAUUAAAGUAUGACAUGCUAAAGAGUUGAUGUUGGACAAGGAAGACAACAUAAUGGUUUAUGUUUUCUCACAUCUGAGUUAAAAUAUAUUGUCAUGGAUCAUUCAAACGUGUUGAGAUUGCCUUUCCCCCUCAUGCUAGCCAAAUUCCUUGCACCAAGUAGAGAUACUACUUGUGCUUCCAAAUAUACUUAAACCCAGUUUUGCCAUGAGAGUCCACCAUACCUACCUAUGGAUUGAGUAAGAUCCUUCAAUUAAGUUGUCAUGUUGCAAGCAAUACAAAUUUCUCUCUAAAUAUGUAUGACUUAUUAGUGCGGAGAAAAUAAGCUUUAUACAAUCGUGUGAUAUGGAAGUAAUAAAAGCGACGAACUGCAUAAUAAAGGUCCAUAUCACAAGUGGCAAUAUAAAGUGACAUUCUUUUGCAUUAAGAUUUUGUGCAUCUAACCAAAAAGAACAUGUCAACCUCUGCUUCCCUCUGCGAAGGGCCUAUCUUUUACUUUAUGUCUUAUACCUAUGCAAGAGUCAAGGUGAUCUUCACCUUUCCCUUUUUCAUUUUAUCCUUUGGCAAGCACCUCGUGUUGGAAAGAUCCUGAUAUAUAUAUCCAAUUGGAUGUAAGUUAGCAUGAACUGUUAUUGUUGACAUUACCCUUGAGGUAAAACAUUGGGAUGCAACACUAUAAGCCCCUAUCUUUCUCUGUGUCCGAUUAAAACUCCAGAACCAUAAGUAUUGCGUGAGUGUUAGAAAUUGUAGAAGACUAAAUGAUAGUUGAGUAUGUGGACUUGCUGAAAAGCUCUAUUAUUGACUCUUUCCCAUGUUAUGAUAAAUUGCAAUUGCUUCAAUGAGUAAGAUUAUAGUUUGUUAGUUCUCAAUGAAGUUUCUGUACCAUACUUGACAUUGUGAAUAGAUUGUUACUUGAGCAUAAGAAAUCAUAUGACAAAAUCUAUAUAUGUUGCUGUUAUAAGAAUGAUCAUGAUGCCCUCAUGUCCGUAUUUUUUUAUCGACACCUUUAUCUCUAAACAUGUGGACAUAUUUAUCGAUAUCGGCUUCCACUUGAGGACAAGCGAGGUCUAAGCUUGGGGGAGUUGAUAUGUCCAUUUUGCAUCAUGCUUUUAUAUCGAUAUUUAUUGCAUUAUGGGUUGUUAUUACACGUUAUGUCACAAUACUUAUAGGUAUUCUCUCUUAUUUUACAAGGUUUAUCAUGAAGAGGGAGAAUGCCGACAGUUGGGAUUCUGGCUGGAAAAGGAGCAAAUAUUGGAGACCUAUUCUGCACAGCUCCAAAAGUCCUGAAACUCCAUGAAAGUCAUUUUUGGAAUUAAUGAUAAUUAUUGAGCGGAAGAAGUACAAGAGGGGGCCCACACCCUAGCCACGAGGAUGGGGGGCAUGCCCACCCCUACUGGGCGCCCCCUACCUCGUGGGCCCCCUGGUGGCCCUCCGGUGCCCAUCUUCUGCUAUAUGAAGUCUUCUACCCUGAAAAAAAAUCAUAAGCAAGCUUACGGGACGAAUCUCCACCGCCACGAGGCGGAACCUUGGCGGAACUAAUCUAGGGCUCCGGUGGAGCUGUUCUGUCGGGGAAACUUCCCUCCGGGAGGGGGAAAUCAUCACCGUCGUCAUCACCAACGAUCCUCUCAUCGGGAGGGGGUCAAUCUCCAUCAACAUCUUCACCAGCACCAUCUCCUCUCAAACCCUAGUUCAUCUCUUGUAUCCAAACCUUAGAUUGGUACCUGUGGGUUGCUAGUAGUGUUGAUUACUCCUUAUAGUUGAUGCUAGUUGGUUUAUUUGGUGGAAGAUCAUAUGUUCAGAUCCUUAAUACAUAUUAAUACCCCUCUGAUUAUGAACAUGAAUAUGCUUUGUGAGUAGUUACAUUUGUUCCUGAGGACAUGGGAGAAGUUUUGCUAUUAGUAGUCAUGUGAAUUUGGUAUUCGUUCGGUAUUUUGAUGAGAUGUAUGUUGCCUCUCCUCUAGUGGUGUUAUGUGAACGUCGACUACAUGACACUUCACCGUUAUUUGGGCCUAGAGGAAGGCAUUGGGAAGUAAUAAGUAGAUGAUGGGUUGCUAGAGUGACAGAAGCUUAAACCCUAGUUUAUGCAUUGCUUUGUAAGGGGCUGAUUUGGAUCUAUAUGUUUCAUGCUAUGGUUAGGUUUACCUUAAUACUUCUUUUGUAGUUGCGGAUGCUUGCAAUAGGGGUUAAUCAUAAGUGGGAUGCUUGUCCAACAAAGGGCAGUACCCAAGCAUUGGUCCACCCACAUAUCAAAUUAUCAAAAUAACGAACGCGAAUCAUAUGAGCGUGAUGAAAACUAGCUUGACGAUAAUUCUCAUGUGUCCUCGGGAGCGCUUUUCUCAUUAUAAGAACUUGUCCAGGCUUGUCAUUUAAUACAAAAAGGAUUGGGCCACCUUGCUGCACCUUAUUUACUUUCAUUGCUUGUUACCCGCUACACAUUAUCUUAUCACAAAACUAUCUGUUACCUACAAUUUCAGUGCUUGCAGAGAAUACCUUACUGAAAACCGAUUGUCAUUUCCUUCUGUUCCUCGUUGGAUUCGACACUCUUAAUUAUCGAAAGGACUAUGAUAGAUCCCCUAUACUUGUGGGUCAUCAUGGUCCUUUAUGGAAACCCGACACAAAAAACGAGACCACAGCAGGGGCGGUAGUACCAGCGGCACUACCGCCGAUAGGCGGUACUACCGUCCUGGCCGCGGUACUACCGCUUAGCACAUAGAACCCCUUGUUUUGCACAGCUUGGAAACUCCAAAGAAGCAGGAAUAAAGCGAGGGUGCAAGAAGAAUGUGAACGUGAUGAUUCCACCCAUACUCUUUCGAAACGGAUCCCCUCUUGAUAGUAUGGUUAUCCUUACGACUCGAUUCCACCGAAAAGAAACGAAGGAAAAUAAUCCGUCUAAAGUGAAGUCCUCGAGGGGUAACAAUUGCAUAGUGCCCUUAUAUUUAGAUAACCUGAAAAGCUUAAUGCACAUGAUUAGUCCACAAACGUAUUGUCAUCAAUCACCAAAACAAACCGAGGAAAAUAAUGCCGUAACAAUCUCCCCCUUUUUGGUGGAUUGAUGACAACCCGUGAUUUGCACAAAAUAUAGUAACUGGAAAUUAAGCAAACCCUCUCCCAACAAAAUAUAGACAGGCUCCCCCUAGAGGUGUGCACCAGGGAAAUUAGCAUGAAAGGCUAUGUGCACAUCUUUAGGAUCAAACUCCCCCUAUAUUUUAUAGACAGGUAACAUCCUUGCAUAUAGGAAUAACAACAAGUACAGCUAAGCAAGGACAAGCAUGAGAGCAAUAAUAUAAGUGCCGGUAAUGAAGCAUCUCACAUGAUAACAAAGUACUUGACACUAAAGUAGAUAAGAUAGGGUAGUCCACAUAUGUCUUACACCAUAUGGUCUCACUCACAGCCGAAAGAAAGCGAACGAAAACGAAUGAACACAAUGAACACGAACACGCAAACAUAAAACCCGAAGCAAAUCCCUAACUCUCCCCUUUGGCAGCAAGAUGCUAAAGGGAAAGGGACGACACAAUGGUAGUAGAUCUCCAUGGCAUCACUCAUCAUGCUCCUCCUCCUCCUCAGAGACCUCUGCAGCACAGAGAGAAGCGUGAACUCCGGUGUCCUCCUCAGUGUCAGACCACGGGCAGUGCAGGCCGAUCCAAGUCUCCUCAUCAGUGAUCCGCUCCUCAGAGCCAUCGGCAGCCUCAAGGCCAGCCUGUCUCAUAAUGGCCUUGUCAUGAUGACGAGCCAUCUUGGCCUCCUUGUGAGCCUUGUACUAGCCCUUGGCCUAAAAGCAGAACAAACGCUUCAUCUUCUCCUUGAGUUUCUUCGCCCAAGAGGGCUCCUCAGAUGGAGGCACAUACUCCUACCCAUCAUCAUCCUCAUCAUCUGCAUUAGAUAAGACAGUCUUCUGCACUGGAGGUGCCGGAGUAGACAAACUCCAUUUCUCCUUCUGACGCAGCUCGAUAGUAUCAUGAGAAACCAUAUUGUCUAUGACAAGCUCCUCAUAUGGAAACUUGGCUGCCCAAGUGUCCUCGAUAAGCUACAUAAGAUAGGGUCCAUAAAUGAUGCACUUGCGCUCCAUGACAGCAGAGUGAAGUUCAGACCACAUUACAUGUGACACAUCCAGCACCUGCUGAGAGCCCUGCUCUUCUUGACAGAAUAGAAGCAUGUCAACAAGGUAAGGGUGCACCUGAUCCAAGUUGCCAAUCCGAGGAAACAGGAUGUUCCGAAAGAUCCGAUGCAUGAUGUCUAGAAAGGGCCAGAGCUCAUAAGAAACCUUCCCAGUCUCAGACACCUUCCUGGUAGAAUAGGGCCAAAGCUUUUCCUUAUGAGUAGCGGCAAUCUCCUUAUGAGGGCGAAACCCAAGUGGGGUCUGGGCACCCUCAUCAUUGUACAAUAAGCUGACCAUGAAGUCCUUCCAUGGUGUGGACAGAAGAUGACCAUUGGCCAUCCAAGACAGAGUACAGGCCUGAUCAUGCCCAAAGUGAACGGUGGCAAAGAACUGGGCCACGAGCUCGGCAUCAAAGUCUUUGUUGAAGGUAAUGAUCCUCUUGGUGUCCAACUCCUCACACCUCUGUAGAGCAUUCCCAAAGUAUGGCAGGUCCUUCUCCAUGUGCGAGAGAUCGACAGACUUGACCUUCACAUACAAGUUCUUCUUUUGCUUCAAGACAUCGUAAUAGAUGGAUUGCUGAAACCUGUUCCAGAACGGAUGCCUCUAAAGAGCAGGCUCCUGGUCCACAUGGUAGGGAUUGUGCUUCCUCUUGGUACAGAACUCCAUUGCAGACAUCUGAUUAGCACGCUUACGCCCAGCGGAGAUCUUCGAUGUUGGGACCUUGGCCUUGCGUUUUGGUGGUUCAGAUGAGCCACCCGCAGCAACAGUAGCAGCAAACUCAGUUGCAUCCGAAGAGCGAUAGCACUUGGAACCUCUUGCACGGUCUAGAUUCUUGCGGCGAGCCUGAUGCCCGGAGCUACUACCACCUGAAAACACACACAGACAAGAACCACAAGAGCAAGAGAGCAUAAGCCAAGGAAAGACAAACACCAAAUAUGAAACUUAGGUAGAGACACAUGGGCUUUGGCAUCUCGGGGUGGUAGUACCGCACACCGGAGCGGUAGUACUGCUCAUAAGCGGUAGUACCGCUAGGGUUCAGUGGUAGUACCGCCUGAGCGGUUGUCAGUAGGCUGACACCUACCGCGGCAAGAUCCGGUACUACCGCAGAUGCAAAAGUCCAUAUUUCUAUACCUAAUCAUCAAAAAACCUAGACUAGCAGUCUCCCAAGUUCUUCCUAAGCCUCGAUUCAACAAACAAAUCGAGGGAUGCAAUGAAUAUAGACCAAAACCUAGAUUCAAGAAGGAGAACCAAGGGAGAGAAGAAUGAGGGCAAUACCGUCAUCCAUGGCAAGAGGAGAGGGUGGGGAAAGACCCCACCGGAUGGAACCGAGGGAGACAGCCUGGGUCCGGCGGCCCGGCGGCAGACCUCCGGUGCUUGGGGAGUCGCCUAAGAGAGGAGAGGACGAGGGGAUGGGGCAAACUGAACGAGUAUGGGGGAGUAGAAACUCCUCCUGCCCAAUACAUACCCCACUCACCGAGCCCUAAGCGGUAGUACCGCGUUGGUGCAGAUCUGAAGCACAACGUGCCUAGCUGAACCGCUCCACAGUAGUACCGUGUCGGCAGGGCAGUAGUACCGCUUAUAAGCGGUAGUACCUCUCUGCAGCUGUGGUAGUACCGCUCAGGCGCCCCAAAGCAGAAACAAGGGGGAAAAGAUGGCUUAUGCAUGACUUGCAAAAGGAAAAAACAGAAAGAACACAAAAGACACAAGGCAAGCCAAGACAAACCCGAACACAACCACACCAAAGCACAACUACUCACAAGAGAGAAGCACAAGCAACAGGAAACAACACAUAGACAAACUCUCAAGAAGAGAGGGCGGUGGUCGAGACCACCUAUGUUUGAGUAAAUGGUAUGGCGCCAUGAAGAAUUAUCCUUGGGCCCAUGACCAAAACUUGUCUUUGAAGCACAAAUGCCAUAAAAAUGGCUAAUGUGAAAGACUCGAUCAAUUUAAGCAUAAUGGGGGGAGGGAGAGUUCAUUGAGAGAACAACACUCCCCCUAUGUCCAUGCCUACACCUAAACAAGACAUCAUGAAGAGUGUGGUGGGAAGUGCAAGAGUUCAAGCCACACUGCUCGAAUCAAUGAUAUUUAGCUCAUGCCUUAACUCCCGAAAUCUUGCUUCAUCCAAGGGCUUCAUGAAAAUAUCUGCAAGGUUAUCAUGAGUGUUGACAUACUUGAUCUUGAUCUCCCCUCGCCUAAUGUGAUCCCGGAUGAAGUGAUACCGAAUCUCAAUAUGCUUCAUCUUGAAGUGUUGCACCGGGUUGAGAGAGAUCUUGAUGGCACUUUCAUUGUCACACCAAAGAGGCACUUCAUCACAAGUGACACCAUAAUCCUUCAAAGUUUGCCUCAUCCAUAGAAGUUGAGCACAACAACUACCGGCAGCCACAUACUCCGCUUCGGUGGACGAGAGAGAUACACAACUUUGCUUCUUAGAAGACCAACUCACUAAGGAGUAACCAAGCAAUUGGCACCCUUCGGAGGUGGACUUCCUAUCCACUUUGUCUCCCGACCAAUCUGAGUCUGUGUAGCCUAGAAGAUCAAAGUUGGCUCCUCUUGGGUACCAUAAGCCAAAGUUUAGGGUAUGAGCCAAAUAUCGAAAGAUUUGUUUGACCGCCACAAAGUGGCUUUCCUUAGGUGCGGCUUGAAACCGUGCACAAAUUCCCACACUCAACAUGAUAUCCGGUCUAGAUGCACAAAGGUAAAGCAAGGAUCCAAUCAUGGAGCAAUAUACCUUUUGGUCCACUGCUUUACCAUUGGGAUCAAUGUCAAGUUGGCAUUUGACGGGCAUUGAAGUGGAGGCCGGCUUGACAUCACUUAGCUUGAAUCUCUUGAGCAUGUCUUGAGCGUAUUUGGCUUGGUUGAUGAAGGUUCCUUCUCUUCUUUGCUUGAGUUCGAACCCGAGAAAGAACUUCAACUCUCCCAUCAUAGACAUCUUGAACUUUGAGGUCAUGAGAGCGGCAAAUUCUUCAUUGAAAGCCUUGUUAGGGGAACCAAAUAUAAUAUCAUCAACAUAUAGUUGGCACACAAACAACUCCCCUUUGACCUUCUUAGUAAAAAGAGUGGGGUCAAUUUUCCCAAUUUCGAACCCACUAUCUUGUAACAACUCAGUAAGAUGCUCAUACCAUGCACGUGGGGCUUGUUUAAGGCCAUAGAGCGCCUUGUUGAGUUGAUACACAUGAUCGGGGAAAUAGGGAUCCUCGAACCCCGGGGGUUGUUUGACAUACACCAACUCAUUAAUGGGACCAUUAAGAAAAGCACUCUUCACAUCCAUUUGCUGCAACUUGAAAUUAUGAUGAGAAGCAUAAGCAAUCAACAAACGAAUAGAUUCAAGGCAAGCAACGGGAGCAAAGGUUUCAUCGUAGUUGAUACCUCGACUUGGGAGUAGCCUUGUGCCACCAAACAAGCCUUGUUGCGAACAAUGAUCCCAUGAGCAUCUUGCUUGUUCUUGAAUAUCCACUUGGUUCCAAUGACAUUAUGAUUCCCGGUUGGCCUUGGCACUAAUUUACACACUUGGUUGUGCUCGAAGUUGUUGAGUUCUUCAUGCAUGGCAUUGAGCCAAUCCGGAUCCUCGAGCGCCUCAUAGACCUUUUGGGGUUCGACACAAGAGACAAACGCGUGAUGUUCACAAUAGUUUGCUAAUUGUCUAUGAGUGCUUACCCCCUUUCUUAGGCUUCCAACCACAUUCUCCAUGAGAUGACCUUUGGUAGUGAGCUUGGAAGCGAUCUUCGCGGCACGACACUCUAAUUCCUCCUCAGAUGUGAAAAGAGGAGGGGUAACUUGAUUAUCUUGAGCGUUGUCUUGAGCUUGUUCUUGAUCUUGAGCUUGCUCUUGAUCUUGAACUUGCUCCAAAGGGAGAACCUGACCUUGGGCAUCACUUGGUGGUUCACCACCAUCUUGAGGUUGAUCUUUCCCUUGAUCUUGUUCACGAGGUUGAGGGCCUUCACCUUGUUCUUUGGAAGUGUGUGGGUCUUGGGUUGGUGAUGGCUCCACUUGAGUGGAGCAUUGACCUUCUCCUUCGGCCACAAGGGAUUCCUCAAUGGGUAGGAUAUGACCAACACCCAUUCUUAUUAUGGCUUGGGGAGGAAUUUCAUCACCUACAUCACAAGUACCACUUUGCUCCACUUGGGAGCCGUUAUUCUCGUCAAACUCCAUGUUACACAUCUCCUCAAUGAGUCCGGUGGACUUGUUGAGGACACGGUAAGCAUGAGAGUUUGUAGAAUAACCAACAAAUAUGCCCUCAUGAGCUCUAGCCUCAAAUUUAGACAAACGAACACCUUUCUUGAGAAUGAAACACUUACACCCGAACACCCGGAAGUACUUGAGGUUGGGCUUGUUACCGGUGAGUAUUUCAUAGGGAGUCUUGUUCAAGCCUUUGCGGAGAUAGAGCCAAUUGGAUGCAUGACAUGCGGUGUUGAUGGCUUCUGCCCAAAAGUUGUAAGGAGACUUGAACUCCACCAUCAUGGUCCUUGCCGCAUCCAUCAACGUUUGGUUCUUCCUCUCUGCUACACCAUUUUGUUGAGGGGUGUAAGGUGCAGAGUAUUGAUGCUUGAUUCCAUCAUCACUAAGAAACUCAUCCAAGGUGUAGUUCUUGAACUCGGUGCCAUUUUCACUUCUUAUUGUCAAGAUCUUUGCAUCAUGUUGACGUUGAGCUUCAUUUGCAAAGUCGAUGACAGUUUGUUGAGUCUCACUCUUCCUAUUGAAGAAAUAUACCCAAGUAUAUCUUGAAUAAUCAUCCACAAUCACCAAGCAAUACUUUUCUACCCCCAAGACUAUCAAAGGAUGGAGGCCCAAAGAGAUCCAUGUGAAGGAGCUCCAAGGGUCUCUUCGAGUAAAUGAUAGUUGUGGGAGGGUGAGCCUUCUCAUGUAGCUUUCCUUCGAUACAAGCACUGCAAGCAAGAUCUUUGGCAAAACUAACAUUCAUUAGUCCACGGACAUGGUCUCCCUUGAGAAGACUUUGCAAAGAUCUCAUAUUGACAUGGGCUAAACGGCGAUGCCAAAGCCAUCCCACGUCAACUUUAGCCAUUAGGCAUGUCGCGGUCUUAGUGGGUCGCUCCGAAAAGUUAAUCACAUAAAGACCGUUUUUGACAUGCCCAACAAAGGCUACUUUAAGAGUCUUGCUCCACAAGAGGUCCAUGGUAUCAAUAUCAAAGAAUGUGGCAAAGCCCAUGAGUGCAAGUUGACGAACGAAAAGUAAAUUGUAUGCAAGGGACUCAACAAGCAUGACUUUCUCGAUCGCGAGAUCAUGAGAAAUGACAACCUUGCCAAGACCCGAUACCUUGGAGGACGAGGCAUCACCCCACUCAAUGUUGGUGGGCAUAGAUGGAAUCUUUUGCAUGUCCACCACCAAGUCCUUGCUUCCGGUCAUAUGAUCUGUGGCUCCACUAUCGAGCAACCAUGAUCCCCCACCGGAAGCAAACACCUACAAGAGAUCAAUGCUUGGUUUUAGGUACCCAUUUUGUAAUGGGUCCUUUGAUGUUAGUAACAAGGGUCUUAGGAACCCAAAUAGACCAUUCAAUGUACUCAUAAGGAGAACCAACAAAUUUAGCAUAAACAUGCCCAUCACUAGCACGGCACAACACAUAAGAAGGGUUAAAGUCGCCGGCUUUGUUGGAAGGGGUGGCGUUGCCCUUUUUAACGUUGCCACCCUUUACAUUCUUCUUCUUCUCCUUUGAAGCACCCUCUCCCUCCUUCACAAAGGUUUGCUUGAGAGGGGGAGGUCGUUUGGUCUUGUCAUUGGACUUGGGUGCGAACCCAACUCCCUCCUUGGCUACAACUUCCUUUUGAUUGCUCAAAAGGUCAUUGAGAUUCUUCUCACCUUGUAUACACGACACAAGGCCUUUCUUAAGUUGUUCAUUCAACUUGGCAUUCUCCUCCACAAGAUGCACAUGCUCACAACACGGGUUAGUAGCAUUUGCGUUAUCAAUUAAGACCAUAUGAGAAAAGGUGGCUUUCUCCUUGGUUAGCUUCACUUGGAGUUGAUCAUGAGUCUCUUUGAGGCUAGCAUGAGCACCCUUCAAGGCCUUGUGAGCCUUGUCAAGUAAAUCAAACUUCUCUUUGAGUCUAGCAAGAUCAACACCAAGUUUAGCCUUCUUGGAGUUUAGCACACGAGAAACAAUAAGAGCAUGAUCAAGAUCUUUCUUUAAUUUAGCAUGACCAUCAUUGUGUGACUCCUCAAGAGCCAAACGAUGAACACGCUCUUCCUGAAGCGCAUUAGAGAGGUCCGAUAUCUCAUCGGCAUAGUCAUGACUAUGACCUUCCAUCUUAGAGAUGGUUUCUUCAUGAGCCUCGAUCAUGUCAUUGGCUUCACCAAGUUGUUCCAAGAGAGCAACGAAGUGCUUCUUGGAUUUGCCCUUGAGCUUACUCAUAAAGACUCAAAUUCAUUUAUUUAUUCAUUAGACCCCUCAUUUUCAUCAAUGCAAUCCGUCAAGGAGGGAUUAGUGAUGAUGGUAGUUUUGAUGUUGGGGGUUACCUUGUUGGUGGCUUUGACCAUGAGGCAUUUGGCGGUGAUGUUCUCGUUGGGUGAAUCAAAGAGAGACACCCGUGGAGUGGUGGCAAUGGCAAUGGAGGCCAUGGCCAUGACUUCACUAUCAUCAUCAUCAUCAUCAUACUCAUUGUAUUCUUCUUGUGCCACCAACCCUUUGGUUGGAGUCUUCUUGGUGAAGUUGUUCUUGCUGGGGAAGGACUUGGCUUUGUCUUUUCGGAUGAGCUUGCCACCAUUGUCUUCUCGCUUCUCGUAAGGGCAAUCCGUAACAAAGUGGCUCACAUUGCCACAAUUGUAACAUGUUCUCACACGUUGCUUGCCCUUGAAGCCACUUGAGUUGUUCUUGUUGAAGUUGGGCCUUGUGUUCUUCUUGCUCCAAAAUUGCCUUGAAGCAAGAGCCAUGUGCUCAUGACAAUCAUAUUUCGUAUCUUCGGGGUUGCUCUCCUCAUCUUCCUCAUCUUCCUCUUCUUCCACACUAACCUUGGACUUCAAGGCAAGGCUGGGAUUCUUUGCUCUUUGAGAACGCAACACCGCAUUGUCGACAGUCUUUUCCAAUAUCCUCAUUGCCAUAAACUCAUCCAACACUUCAUUUGAGGACAAGGUGUGAAAGUCCGGCCUUUGAUGGAUGACGGAGGACAUGGCCUUGUGGUAGGGCAUCAUGGCCUUGAGGAACUUGCGCUUGAUCCAAUUUUCAUCUGUAUCCUUACUCCCAUGAUCUCGGAGUGAGACCGCGAGAGUGGUUAAUCUUCGAUAAAGCACAUGAGGUUCUUCAUCUUCAUUCAUUGCAAACUCAUGGACUUCAUCUUGCACCACUUCAUAGUUGGAGCGUUGAAUGCUAGCGCUUCCCUUGUAGAGGGAAACAACAUGGUGCCAUGCUUCCUUGGCCACAGUGAAUGGUCGGAGAUGUGCAAUGUCUUCGGGUGGAAUUGCAUCUUGAAGGAUGAAGAGAGCAUUCUCAUUGAAUUGAUUAUCCGCGGCUUAUCUUGGGGUGAAGUUGCUUGGGUCAUGCGAAUAGAAACCUUCUUCAAUGAUUCUCCAAAGAUUAGUGUUAACAUGUUUUAAAUGACGCUUAAAGCGAUAGACCCAAGCAUCAAAAUCUUCAUUUUUCACAAUCUUAGGAGGAGGGCCGGCAUGAUUUAAAUGAGUAGAGGGAAUCGGUCCUCCAUAGGUAAGAGGAUGUUCCACAUGGGCAAACAUUCCAUUUCCAUUUUUACCACUAGAUAAAGGAACUCUUUCACUAGAAGCUUCCCCCUUAUCGGAGUUGGCAUCCGCCACCUUGGUAGUGGGAUCGACCACUUCCAAUGGUGCGGUGGAUAGUUUGAGACCAUCAAGAAAUUUUUUAAGCAUGCCUUUAACCUCGGCCGUCAUGGAUGUUUUCAAUGUGUCCAAGGCCACAUUGAAUUCCUCAUGUGAGACCGAGGUUCCCCCAUCGGCCAUAGACGAGGAUGGAUUCACACCAGGGUGCUCCUCCUCACCGUUUAUGGUGUCAACCAUACUCUUCGGACGAGAAAGUCCUUAAUAAAGAGACGAGGCUCUCAUACCAAUUGAAAGGAUCGAUAUAGUUGACUAGAGGAGGGGGGGGGGGUGAAUAGGCAACUAACAAUUUUUAGCUUUUCUAUACCAAAUUUAACUUUGCAUCAAAGUAGGUUGUCUAGAUAUGCAACUAGGUGAGCAACCUAUAUGAUGCAACAACAAUAAGCACACAAGCAAGCAAGGAUAGAGCACAAUAAAGCUUGCACAAGUAAAGGUGAGAGAUAACCAAAAGGGGAACCGAUGGAGACGAGGAUGUGUUACCGAAGUUCCUUCCUUUUAAGGGCAAGUACGUCUCCGUUAGAGCGGUGUGGAGGCACAAUGCUCCCCAAGAAGCCACUAGGGCCACCUUAUUCUCCUCACGCCCUCACACAAUGCGAGAUGCUGUGAUUCCACUAUUGGUGCCCUUGGAGGCGGCGACCGAACCUUUACAAACAAGGUUGGGGCAAUCUCCACAACUUAAUUGGAGGCUCCCAACGACACCAUGAAGCUUCACCACAAUGGACUAUGGCUCCGCGGUGACCUCAACCGUCUAGGGUGCUCAAACACCCAAGAGUAACAAGAUCCACAAGGGAUUAGUGGGGGGAAUCAAAUUUCUCUUGGUGGAAGUGUAGAUCGGGGCCUUCUCAACCAAUCCCUAGAAAAUCAACAAGUUUGAUUGGCUAGGGAGAGAGAUCGGGCGAAAAUGAAGCUUGGGGAUGGAAGAGGUGAGUCUUCUUGGAGAAGAAGACCCCUUUAUAUAGUGGGGGGACACAUCCAACCGUUAUGCAGCCCGCAACCCGCAUCUGGGCGGUACUACCGCUGUGGCAAGCAAGCAUAAGGCAACCAGGGCUGAGGGAGAAGAAGUACAUGCACUAGGGCGGUACUACCGCUGUGAGGGCGUACUACCACCGAUAAGUGGACUGCCGCUCCCUACAGCCGCUGGAAAACAGGGGAGGGCAGCGAGCUAAGCGACAGUUGGAGCGGACGUAGGAGCGGUACUAUCGCGACCUACUACUGUUCCUACUACCGCUCCCCUGCGUGGUCCUUUACGGAAACCCGACACGAAAAACGAGACCACAGCAGGGGCGGUAGUACCAGCGGCACUAACAAGUGGUACUACCGCCCUGGCCGCGGUACUAUCGCUUAGCACAUAGCACCCCUUGUUUUGCACAUCACGGAAACUUCAAAGAAGCAGGAAGAAAGCGAGGGUGCAAGGAGAAUGUGAACUGACGAUUCCACCCAUACUCUUCCGAAACGGAUCCCCUCUUGAUAGUACGGUUAUCCCUACGACUCAAUUCCACCGAAAAGAAACGAAGGAAAAUAAUCCGUCUAAAGUGAAGUCCUCGAGGGGUAACAAUCUCAUAGUGCUUUUAUAUUAGAUAACCUGAAAAGCUUAAUGCACAUGAUUAGUCCGCAAACGUAUUGUCAUCAAUCAUCAAAACAAACCGGGGAAAACAAUGCCCUAACAACAGUGAUGAAUGUUGUGUUAAUAGCAUCAACGAUCUAGCUAGUUUUCACAUCUUGAAGCAAGUUCGAAAAAAUUCUCCUUGCUUUUGUCGAAAAGAGAAGAACUAUUCGAUAGUAGAUGUUGCAUGUAGUUUCAUCGGAAGUUGGUGAUGAAGACAUCUUGAAGGCAUUCCCAUGACUAGAUGAAGUUCCUCCUUUUUUUUAUUGAAAAACCAAGUUUGUGCCAUUCCGCCUAGUGCGAGUCCGAAGAGAUUGCACAUCUCCAUGGAGGAGCUCGCUGCGAGGCGGAGGCGACCUGAUGCACGAUAACACCCUAGUCUUGCUGCGAUCUGCGUGACGUGUUCGUGCCUGCUCACGCGGGGCCAGUUGUGUGCGAGACAAAGAACAUGACGUAAGAAAUGACGUGAGGGGGCACAAAUCCAACCGCCCAUUAGCAUGUUAAUCGCACGAUGGGAAAGUGGACCGGCCGAAUACUCGUGCCGGUCGACCAACACAGAGUUGCGCCCUUGAUGGGCUUCAUCAUUUAUAGCGUGGAGGCAGCUUCGCUUAUUCAGAAACUGGUGACGACAUAUCUCGUUUGCUUUUAUUUUAAGUGAAAUUAAAGUGCUCUGAAAUAUAAGACGUUGGAGAGUUUUCCGACAACCCCCAAACAUAGUAAAUUGUACAAAAGUACUCCUAGUGACCUGUCGGAAACACCAGUCUGCAUGGCCAUCGCCGAGCGGCUCCCUUGCAGAUGCAACAAAGUCAGCGCCGAGCGAGCAAAAGUAGGCCGCGUGCGCCGCCGCCAGCGUGAACCGCCUGUCCGCCACCGCCAGGACCAACGCCGCCCGCUCCCGGCACAUUGCCGCAGGGUCCCGCGCCCGCGCGGAGGAGGAGUAGGUGGGUGUCGUCGUCGGCCGGCGCCACUUCGCCCUGGACGCGGCGGCCGCGAAGGUGUCGUGCGAGGGCGCACAUCCCAUGGUUCUUCAACCACUCGCCGGCCAAGAAGGAAGGGUAGGAAGAACGAACUGAAAACCCUGGCUAGACGGCUGCGACGGGUAGGAGUCAGACGUGCUUUGUUGUGGGCUCCGUCGGCUCGUUGGCAUCCAUUUUAUGGGACGCGCGGGGUCUGUCGUGCGGCUUGUGGCCUCCUUGCACUCGGAGGGCAGCGGCUCCGGCGCGGCCUCGGAUCGAGCUGCGACGGUGAAAUGAAGGAAAGAAGAGGGGAGGCGGACGGGAUUUUGAUUGGGAGGAAGGCGCGAGCCGUGUGUGCUGGGAGGGAAGGAGGGAGACGAGAAAGGAAGGAGGAGCCUGACACCCAGGAUCCGUUGUCUCCAGGUACGGCAACGACGCGGUGCGGUGGGGGAGCGUGAGCGAGACGAGGAAGAAAGCGAAGCGUGCUGUCCGUGCACGACUCGAGCGAGGGCAAAAUUGGAAAGUCGAAGAAUUUCGCAAUGCAAAAUUUUUUUUGACUAGAAUUUUGUUAAACAUCUAUAUUUCGGAUCAUAGGGAGUAGUCUAUAUUACUCACGUCAGAUGUAGCAGAACCGUGCCAGUGAUUUCAUGGCUAACUACGGCCGUACUAAACCUAGAUAUGCUGCGUGAAUUGGACAAAUAUUUGUAACACUGACCAUGUUGUUCCAGGUUGAGUAAAUACUGUACGUACAAACUACAUUCCGCUAAGCCCCAGAAAAGAAAACAUUCUGCUAAAAAAAAGAAAUCUGCUUAUUGAGUCGUUAACCUUUUUCUAUUCCCCGCGAGAAAAAAAAAAUCUAUUGGUGAAAAUUGUAUCGUUGGGCUCGUCCUUCCGCCGCCGCCGCCGCUGCUCCGUCCUUCGCUUCACCUCCGCCACCGCCCAUCUCCCAUCUGCUUCCCCGCCGCUGCUGCCUCACCAUCCCUUCUCUUCCCCUCCCUAUCCGGUCUCCGCCGCCGGCGGCUGCUUUGUCUCGCUUCUCCGCCGGCGGCGGCUGCUCUGUCUCGCUUCCCCGCCGCCGCGGCCGACCUCGACCUAGGCCCUAGGGCAACGGCGACGGAGCUCUUCGGCGGCUGCAGAGUUCAUCCUCUCUCGGUGUUACUAGGUGCAGGUUUGGCGCUCCAACAUUACUACUUGUUCUUGUUGAUGAACUCUGUAAUCUAUAUGCAAUUGUUAUCUCUCUAAAAAAAAAUUCUAUAUACAAUUGCUGGAAUCGAAAGUAAUUUGGUGACUAUGGUGGUACGUGUGCACAGCUCACGCAUGACAUCUGUCCACCCGGGUCAAAGUCGAUUUGUGUUAGAAGACCAAGGGCAGCUUAGCACUUAGCAGGCCGCAGUCUCUCAUUUUCCCCUCCUGAUGUCUGAAAUCAUCUGUGUUUUCGUUUGUAACAACAUCCUAACUUCCUUACCGAAAGCUUAUUCCAUGAUUCUUAUUUUCCAGGCCGCAUACAGAAGGUCAAGGACCCAGAUGUUUUCUUCGCAGGAAGGUUCGCAGGAAGGUGAUUUCAUCUCAUCUUCAUUCUUCUGAAGCCACAACAGUACUACUCCACUUGCUAUAGUGCCUACUGUGCAAUACCUGCAACUUAUUUCAUUACUGUAAUAAAAUGUGAUGGUGUUUCUAGAACAAUCAUCUGCAUGCAAAACACUAAAUAUUGACAGCGUCCAUGGUUAUUAUGCUUGCAUUUCUCAUGCUGAAUUGAUGAUGCAUCCAAGUUGAGUUGUAUGCAUCUCUGUUGAUAUCAUCUUGUUUAGAAUACUUAGUUUCCACACUUCAAAGUGACACCAUCCAUACACCAAAUUGUUGCCCUUGGCUCACAUAAACUAGGGUAUUGCAGUCUGAUGUGGCUGAAAAUCCUCUUGUUAUGUUAUACACCUGAAACUAUUGUUCUGUGUGGUUUUUACCCAGAGGACGCGGCCGACUUCUCUUUCAAGGAUGGUAACAGGCUGUGCUCUCUUUUUCUGCGGCAGCAAGGUCUCAUCAAGAAAAAGCGAAGGUCUGUGCAGUGCUUGCUCUCCUCUUCUAUAUGUCUGCCCCCUCCGCCUCUUAACCGUACCUUACAUAUUUUUUCCAUCUAUCUAUGCAUGAAGAUGGCUGGCCUCGCUGAAUCCCGAAUUAGGUGUCCCCUUCAAACUUAAGCGACCAAAGUUUCUGAAAGUCGUGUAAGUAUUCUACUAUCUGUGCCAGUUAUUUCCUUCUCUAAACCAGAUGCAGUGCGGUAUUACAACUGAUAUAGCUGCACGUUUCUGAUUUGAAAACAAUAUCCACUGAUUUAGUGAGUUACCUCCAUGGCUCCAUGUUUCAAGAGUUUGUGCCAAAAGCUUUGAUAGAGCAAAACUCAUUCUUCAUGUAUGCGCAAAAAUGACCCAUAGCCUGGCCCAUGUUUCUCAUCUGAAAACAACAUCCACUGAUUUAGCGAGUUACCUCAGCUCCAUGUGGUCUUGGGUUGUAAAAUAUGGCAAACCUACCAGAUUUCUAUUUAUCGUGUUUUCUCUACUUAUAAGAUUACUUUACCCAUAUCAAUAUUUUAGUAACCCUCCACAAAAAAUUCUGUUCUACAGCUACUUGGCUGAAUCGGAUGUCAGGACUGAUGAAGUAAGUUAUUCAUACUCUAACAGAACCUACAGCUUACAGUUUUCAGUUUCAGUUUUUACUCCCCUUAUUAAUGUUGCUUGCGUAGCUACUUAUUUACCCGUUAGGUUUAUAUAACAAUGAAUGACAGAUAAUUAUAUUUCUAGUACAAUAAUUAAUAAUAAGAGAACAUUUAGCAGUUUUAAUAUGUUGUGUGAUCAAAUAUGUUGCUUCAUAUGAACUUACAUCAAGAUAACUACACUUGUGGAAGGAUAUACAACAUGUCACAUUGGAAGGAGCAGAUUGAUUAUAGUGUGAGAUGAGAUAACAUCUAGGAAAAAGGGUCUAACUCACUGUUAUUGCUUGAUCGAUAGUCCAUGCUUGCUAGCUCUACCAAUUUCAUAGUAAUCACUUCUUUUUGGUGAAUAAUUUUAUUUUGAUCACUUGAUUUGAUCCUUGAGAGUAACAUCCAUGUAGCAUAAACAUGACAGUAACUGGGCAUCUUAUCGAGAAAUGUCUAUUCCAGGUGUCCAGCGAGAAAGUAAGAUGUAACAUCGAAGAAAGUUUUGGUUUGCAAAGCAAGUGUUACAUUCAUCAUGUAGUUCUGGAUGGUCUUGAGCUUUUUAAGUUGCAAAAACAGAAGGAUGGCUCUCUCUGUCCAGAAAGCUUGAAGACCAUGCACUGUACAAUCAGCAAAUUAAGCAAUGGGGCACUUGAGUCAGUGGCUAAUAUUGUCGCCCACAAUGGGAUUAGUUUCAGGAAGAUUAGGCCUACAAUGAUGAAAAUCGUGAAGGACCACCUUCCAAAAUACUUGGCUGAGUUGGACAGUGAAAGUGGUAUGCGAUUGUCUGAAAUUUUAACAAAUCCAUGCAGCUACCGUUCUAAUUCUGUCUGUCUUAGAACACCUGUUUCACCAAUGCUUCUGUCAUCUAUUGACCAAGCUUUAGCUGGGCUGGAUGAAAUUCCCCAGCAAGCUGCUAUUGCAAUCAAUAGAAAGCUCUCAGGAAAAUCAUGCCCCCCAGAAUUUCUGCAUGUAGCUCGAACUUCCAGCAGAAGCCAUCUUAUUAAUUUGAUAAGGAAAAGAUGUGGAAAUAUGAUAGCAAAGCUGCAGGAAGGCAAUGAUCUUCCAGAGAACUUUGCAAAAGCAUUGUCAGUGAUGAACCUAUAUCGGAAACUCACACUAAAGAGCAUGGCUAUUUCACAGUCAGAGUUCUUUCCCUUUCCACGUGCGACUAUAUCAUCGCAGCAAGAUAUCCUGAAUGCUCUAUGGUCACUUCCAAACGUCGAUACUGAUGAUAUGAAGUUGCUGCGUCGCAUUAUGGGCCAAGGUUCUCAAGUGAAGAUGGCAUCAUUCAAAGCAGCUGUGAGGAGGUACUUGACAGAAUGCUUGUUUGAGUGUGAUGAUGGUAAUUUACCGGAUUUGGCAGUACGUGCCAUUGGUUUCUUAGCUCAAAUGUCUCCUAAAUGUCAACAAGCUAUUCUCACUGAAGAGAGAAAGGAAGUGGAAGUAGAUGCUGUCUUGGAUUUAAGCAGUUGCCUCAGAUCUUUGGUACGUGGUGCCACUGAAGAAAACUCGAGCGAUGACGAAGUUAGCUUAGAGAGUGACAGGUGCAGUGAAGAUAAUGAUUUUGUACUCACCACGAGCAACUACUUUGAUAUUCGUUCUGAGCAACGCAUGGAUGAGGGCUGCUGUUCAAAUUUCAUGAUCAAUAGCACUGAAGAUUCUGAGUACACUGCUGGUGCUGGACAUUAUGGAGACAGUGGUGCUGCUGGCAGUACGAUGGAUCCUAGUUCGGAGAAGGACAAUGUGGAGAUGACUAGAUGCUCUGCAGAAGAUCUCUCUGCAUUAUGUGAUGACACUGCAAGUAUUGCACAUGAGCUUAUUGGGCACAUUCUUAAAAACAUGUUGACUGAAGACGAGGGGAUUGAUGAACUUACCGGAUGUUAUCUUGGAGGCAGUUCUAAUUCUCAAGAUCCUCAAGGUACAUUGUGAACCACCAGUAGAACUUUUCUAUUUAUUAUUUCUCUUUUCAGUUUUCAAUCCCCAUGUUGGGUAAUGAUUUUUAUUUGCCAUAGAUCCUGAAGCGGAGAACCAAAAAGGCGACAUUGUGAUAAAUGCUGUCCAGAGUCUCUUACCUAAUCUGCCGAAAAGGUCUGUAUACAUUUUUCAUUAUCUCCCUCACCCCCUCCAUUGUGCACGUAAACGGUCUAAUAGUAUGUUAAUGUGUGCAGCUCCAUCGACAAAGUUAGGAGCAUACUGGAUGGUGCGGAGCAGUGAGGAUGGUCAAUAGACAUUUUUAGGUGUCGAACCUUGCAUGGUGCUGUGAAUUGGGAUAUUGAAUGUGAUGGACAAUUUUACCUUAUGAAGAGGGAUGUGCAUGUUUUGUUUUGCUGGGGGAAAUGUGCAUGCAGUGGACAUUUUUUUGCCAUAUCACUGGAAAGCUAGCACAUGUGCUUACAUGGAUCCUGUAAUUAGCGUUUUUUGUGCACUCUGACAUGGUUAAGACUGGUGAUUUUUGAAAUAUACUAGCCUGUUGCAAGACUGGUGGUGUUUUUCAUUUUGCACUGCUCUGUUUCAAGUUUCAACUACUCCGAAAACUAGCACAUAUUCAAAUCACAUUAUAGUCUGAUCCACCAUCAAUUGUUGUCAUUCUCCUUUCUGCUUUCAUGAACUAUACUUUCAAAAAUUGUUUCCAGGAUUACUGUGCAAAACAUUUAUUUAAUUGGCAUUUAGUUCAAGAGAAUUGUAUUAGGAUGAAUAAAAUGCACUGUGGGUAGAACAACUAGUUAGGUGGGUGCAAUCAAGUAUGGAAAUUUACAAUCAUUCGUUUUGGUCAUAAAAAAUGUUUAUUGGGCUCAAUGUGGGGCAGUUAGGCGCCAGUUGUGCUAAUGGUGCUUGGUCAGCCCCCGAGGGGCAUCGGCUCCCAGUACCAUGGACUUUUGCAGGGCUAAUAUUUCAUUUGGUAGUAUUUCUUUUGUAUGGUAUUGUUGUCAGGCAUCAUGCCAAACAUGUCAACUUGUCCAGGCAACAAAUAUGAACUUGAGGAUGCUGUGUUGCUCGGUCUUAACCGUUACUCUGCAGACAUGAUGACUCAACCUAUCAUGGCUGUUGCUCUUCUGAAGCUCUCUUCACGGUUUCCAUCUAUCAGAGUAAGAUGUAUUUCAACUUGACCUCAUAUUGUAGUUGCAUAACUUUCUGCGAAGUACUAGCUCAAAGCUGCAACUGUUUUUAACAGUGAGCUAGUUGAAUUUGUUCUUCCGGUUCUCCCGUAUCCAUAAUGUUCCCUGUAAGUUCUGAAUGCGCUGUGCGAAACCACUUUUACGAAUUCUAAAAUUUGUGCAAUUCUGUCAUCUCUUGUUACAAAUGAACUUUGGACUCGCAGGAUCAUUUAAAUAUGGAAAUUUUCCCAACUUACUGAAGAAAUAUGUAAUGAUGUAUUGAUGUCUACACUCUGGUAAUCAUAUAGUGAUGUACCAAUACCAUUGUGUAUGAUUUGCUCUUCUUUUCGGCAUCUCUGUUCAACUUAACUUCUCCACAAACUUAUCACAUCUUUUAGAUCCUUGCAGUGGUGCCUAGUUGUAACCUCAAGAUACAUUAGCAUAUCAUUUAAAGAUUUAGUUCAUGCCUGGUAAGGCUGGCUUUCUGGGCUUUGUGGCUUUGGGCCGUUCGAUAGCGUCGCGGAUGGUUAGGAUUGAAUGUAAAAAUUCUGAGGUGGCGUCUGUAAUAUUCUCAAGGGUGAGUUUUUCUUGUCAUUUACCCGCAGUGCCAUCCCACGUCCAUGCAUGUCGGCAUUGAUUCACCGAUUCAGCCUCGCGCGCUCACCCUACGGCUCAUCACCAUCCUGAGGUCUAUCAGUUCUAUUGGCAUGUGUAGGUUUGCGUCAGUAUUAUAUAAGAUUCAUUGAACAUUCUGUUUGCAAGAAACCUUUUUGUCCUCGUCUACUCACCUAGUUCCCAGCUUAUAUAUGCUCGUGUCGUAAGUGUUUGAAAUUACUAAUGCAGUGGUUGUCCACCUAUUUAUGUUGUGCUGUUUAAUCGGAUCCUCCAACAUUCAUCUUACCUGUGCUAUUCUCCAUGUGCAGCUUACUGCUCUGAAUAAUGAAUUGCAAGCUAUGCAGAGGGACAAGGAGAUACUGAAGGCCAGUACCCAGUAGAAACACAGCAGAGGAGGCAAGAUGUUAUUGAAGCACUCUUGUCCAUGCAGCCUUGUCUUCCACCCACAACUUAUCAUCUUCUCAGUGAACUUCAGUUUCUGCUGCACUGAUGUACGUAGUACUGAUGGCCUGAAGUUCCUUGCAUUUCUCAUUCAAGGUUUAAGUCGCUAUUCUUAUUCAAGGAGAACAGAACUAUCGGUCAAAGGCUGGCGAGUUUACUGGAGAAAGAGCAAAAACAUCGGUCAAAGGGAAGCACCCCACAAAGGUAAAAAAGGACGAGGUGCUUCCAAAAUAUUGCAAUUCUACUGUUUCCUGCAAAAACAUCCUUUUGUGUGUAUGCCCAUCCUAAGAUAAUUGUUGUAACAUUGAGAUUGCCGCAAUACGUAUCCUGUGAUUAUUCUGCUUCUUACCCUGAUGAUUUAGAUGUCUUGAUGCAUUAAACUGACGUCCUAUCCUCAAAAUACAAAGUGUUCUUUUCCUUUCUUUUUAUAUGUUGAGAAAAAGUCGCACCAGGCCAAUCUGCACUCCUAGCUAGCUUUUAUGCAGAUCUCUUGUGAAUGAGUAUAUCUAAACAAUUUUGCCAUUUUGAUACUUGAAUCACUGCCUGUUACUUUCUAAUCGUUUUUUUUUGAGGAAACGCAAAAGACUUUUGUGUUUCAUUGUAUUGAAAAGGAAGAGAGUUUGUUACAACCUCCUAAGAGGUAGGGUUACAGGCAAAAUGAGAGAAAUCAGUGGACGUCCCACGUUGGUGGGAGGAUGUCACGCAGUCCUCGUGCGCCUGCGCUCGCCCAAAGCACAGCUUCGUCCUUGAUCCUCGAUCAGAGUGUUUGGCGAUGGGGUUGCUGCGUCGAAGACGCAUUCGUUGCGAUGCUUCCAGGUCAUCCAAGGGAUCAGCAGCGUCGCGGUGGAGAGGCCUUUUUGCAUCGGCUUGGGCGUGGUCUGUCGUGCUGUGCGCCACCAUCUGGUCAGGGAGUCCUCGCCAUCUGGCGCGUUGCACGUAAGGCGCAGCCAGGAAAGGAUUUCGUGCCAUACCAGCUUGGAGAAGGGGCAUGCCAGGAACAGGUGAUGGAGCGAUUCGGGCGCUUGAUCACAAAGUGGGCAGUGGGCAGGGUGCGGCAGUCCACGGUGGGCAAGGCGGUCGGCUGUCCAGCAGCGUCCCAGGUUAGCGAGCCAGUGAAAGAACUUCACGCGCGGAGGGCCCAGCUCUUCCAUGUGAGCUUUCAUGCGGGGCAGUGGGUCGAGCCUUGGAAAGUGGCAAGGUAGGCAGACUGCGCUGUGUAUGUUCCUGCCGCGUUCCACUUCCAUUGCAGGCGGUCUGGCUCAGAGGAGAGGCUGAUGGGCCAGGUUAGCAAGUACUGACCAAUCUCUUGAAUGCCAAGGAUGCCCUGGAUGUUUGAAGCCCAUCGGUGCGCCUGUAGGCCGCCACCGUUCUGUUUUUGCGGCAGUGUUUGGGGAUGGUGGUGUACAGUUGGGGUGCGAUCUCCGAGAUGGAGCGCCCAUUGAGCCAGCGGUCCUCCCAACAACGCGCGCUGGCCAUUGCCAAUGAUCAUGGUGGUGGAUGCGAAGAAGAAGGCUCGUUCCUUGCUUGUGAACUGCAGAUCGAGGCCAGUCCAAGCUCUGUUGUCAUCGGUGCGGGCAAGCCAUAGCCAUCUGGUGCGCAAGGCCAAGCCAGUGCGCUCCAGGUCAUGUAUACCGAGGCCGCCAAGGCGGGUUGGGCAGCAGACCCGUCGCCAAUUAACAUGGCAGUUGCCACCGUGUGCUUCAGUGCGGCCAGCCCAUAGGAAUCCUCGCUGAAUUUUCUCCAGGAGCUUGAUGAUCUUCUUUGGGGGCGCGAGCACCAGGAGCUGGUGUAUGGGGAUCGCGCUUCGCACAGCUUUGACAAAGGCGAGACGUCCGGCUUUGUUCAUGAGGUGGGCUUUCCAGGUGGCCAGCUUCCCGGCGGUUUUGUCAACGAGGGGUUGGAGCUGGGCGGCGGUCGGGCGUCGGAGGGUGAGGGGGAUUCCCAGGUAGGUGAUUGGGAAUUCCGCGAGCGGGCAACCCAGGGCCGCAACGGCCAGGCCGACCUCCUCGUCAUCGCAUCGGAUCGCAGUGGCGGUGCUCUUCUGGAAAUUGACCCAUAGGCCUGAUGCUCGGCCAAAGAGCUGCAGGAUCUUGCGGACAUCGAGCGUGUCGCCAGCCGAGGGGUGGCAGAAGAUGAUGACGUCAUCCACGUACAGGGAGAUGAUCGGGAUUGUGGUCAGCUCACUAGCACGUAGUAUAAUUUUAUCGAGUUUGCUUGUGUGGUGUUAAAAUUAUCUAGCAUUAUGUUUAUGAAGUGUACAAGAAUUAUCAAAAUAACAUGAACUCACGGAAUUUCACAAAAGAGAAACAUGAACUCACGCACAUGGCGUUUGAAUGGCUAGCCAUUGGCUAAUAUUAGUACAGGAUGAGUCAGUUUUAGAAGCCGAGCAGAUUACAUCUUUAGUCUCCUUUUGACUAGUCAAUCAUAUCCCACUAACAUUUUCCUCUUGUUUCAGCUGUUUAUUCCUUUCUUCCUGGAAACUGAUAACGCAAACCAUUUUUCUGAAUCGUAUGUAUGCUUGAAUUCAUCCAAACACACAUUAUUGUACACACAAGGAACCAAAGAUUACAUACAAGAACACAAAUACAUGCAUGUGAAACUACUUGAGCUUACACAGUAACCACUUUUUUUUUUAUCUCCCCACAGCUUUCUGGGUCAGUGGAAGAAGGGCACUUGUUCCUGCCAUGAAGCAAACAGGAAUGGCAGUACCUUCCAGAUGAGAUGAGAUAAUCA
rnacentral:lncRNA from 1 species